UUUUUUUUUUGGUGAACCGAAAUGGAGAUUCACUAACUCAAAGAAAGGGUUACAGUCAGUCAUCACGCGCUAGGCGUGUUACAAAGUCAGGGGGAUGUGUCAGCCAUACAGCGGUCGACAUCUCUCUGAAAGCACUAAUAUUUUGUUUUAUUUUUGAAAAGCUUGCGGGAGCACCGCAGUGUCAUUUAAGAAGGAGAGAAGCAAAGUUCCGAGUUUUUACAGACUUGAUUUACAUAAAUAAAAAGAUCUCAAGCACUCUAGAAAGUAGAUUAAACAUUAAACAACGAUAACUCAGGUCUUCCGCAGGCCAAAGUCCUGCAAUGCGCCUCGGCUUUGCUCUCCUGGAAAACCUCCACAGGUGACAAGAUCUUGUUGUCAAAAACACGCUUGUUUCUCGCCUUCCAAAUAUUCCACGCACAAUAUAUCAUCAGAGCUGCCUUGAGUCGACAUUUUUUCUUAGGUAGAUUAGCUAAACCUUUCUCCCACCAAUUCAUCACUUCUAGUCCUUGUCCUGGUGCCUGAACCAACUGCUGCGUCCAGUUCUCCAUCUUGUCCCAUACUUGUCUAGCAAAAGUGCAGUGAAGUAUCAAAUGUGCAGUUGUCUCGGGUUCUUGAUUGCACAGGGGGCAGAUUGGGUUGCAGGGCCAGUGUCUAGCUAUCAUCUUGUCUGCAGUGAGUAUCUUACACUGAAUCAAGAGCCAUGCAAAGAAUUUGUGCUUCCCUUCUGCCUCUGCCUGCCAAAUAUGUUCUCCUCGGAACAAUCUGUAAGAGCCAAGAAACUGUGCAUUGUAAGCUGAUUUCGCUGUGUAAACCCCAUCUGUCGUCCAUCGCCAACAGAUACUAUCUUGCUCAUCAUUCAGUUGUACUUCUUGCACCAAAUCCCAAAGUUCCACAAAGCUGGACAUCUCACUAACUGAUUGCAUUCUCCAUAAUCCUCUAGUUCAAUUCUGAUUUUGAAGUUCCUCCUUCACCAUUUGUUUUUCCUCCAUGCCAACCUGAACAGCUCUGGAAAACGAUCCAUAGGUGCCUGCCCAUUCAUCCAAGUUGAUUGCCAGAAACUAGCCUUCUCACCAUUGCCAAGCGUGACCACCGUACUUGAAACAACUGCCUGUCAAUUGCAUCAACCGGUGGUUCAGUCCCUACCCAAUGGCGUUCUGGAGUUGUCCAUUGGUACCAAAGCCAUCGUAACCGCAGAGCCCUACUAAACAAAUCAAGAUCAAGGAUACCCAGUCCUCCAAACUUUUUUGGUCUCAUAGUUUUACCCCACUUCACUAGACAGUGUCCACCAUUUACCUCUGCCACACCUUUCCAGAGGAAACUUCUUCUGAGCUUAUCCAUUUUUUUCGCUGCCCAUUUUGGCAACUUGAAAACUUUCAAGAAAUAAGUAGGUAGAGAGGAAAGCACCGAGUUAACUAAUCGUAACCUCCCAGCCUUAUUCAGCAACCUUCCUUUCCAUGCAGCCAAUUUCCCCCCCAUCUUAUCUAUCAAAGGCUGUAUAUCGACCCUUCUGAUUGCCCUUGCAUGUAGUGGUAACCCCAAAUAUUUGCAAGGGAAGGAGCCAACAGGGCACUGAAACGCCUCCAUUAUAUGCUGCAGAUCAAGCCCCUCACAGCGUAUAGGAUAAACUGCACUUUUUUCAGUGUUGGUGACUAAGCCAGAAGCUCUUCCAAAAGCUGCCAAAAUGUUCUUUGCCACUUGCACUUCUCCCCCCACCGGAUUUAGAAAAAUUGCAGCAGCAUCUGCAAACAAACUUAUUCUAAUUUUUGCAUGUCUAUUGCAAAUAGGUGUCAGCAUGCCUUGCUCAGUAGCUUUGUUCAACAUCAGAUGCAUUGGUUCCAUGGCUAAAAUAAAAGGUAUAGGAGAUAAAGGAUCUCCUUGUCGCAGGCCCAACUUGUGUUUGAACCAUUUCCCUCUCACCCCAUUAAGAAGCACUGUUGAUGAUGAUUUCCCCAACAGAAUUGGCACCUAUGCUCUCCACCUAGCCCCAUAACCCAUCUGCUGCAACACCUCUUGUAAGUAGUCCCACCUGACAGUGUCGAACGCCUUUGCAAUGUCUUAGUUUAAGAAACAAAGUUGGCUUCCCUGCUCUGUGUAACUCCCUUAUCAGGUUUUGCGUGUACAAGAAGUUGUCGUGGAUACUCCUUUUUUUUAAUGAAGGCACUCUGUGCUCUAGACACCAAGCUGUCCAACUCAGCAGACAGUCUGCCAGCUAAAAUUUUAGAAAUUAGCUUUGUGAUGCUGUGAGAUAAGAUAAUGGGUCUAUAGUCUCCAACCAUGCUGGCAUCAUCGUUCUUUGGUAGAAGAACAAUAUGAGCAGUGUCUAGCAAAUUGAAAUGCUGGUCAUGUCUGGCAUAGUAGUUGAUAGCAGCUAGCACAUCUCCUUUAAUAGUUUCCCAACACGUUUUGUAGAACAGACCAAUGAAACCGUCCGGGCCAGGAGCCUUUUCUGAGGCCAAUUCUUGCACAACUGCCCUAACCUCCUCCUCUGUAAAUUCUUCCUCAAGUUGCUGCAGCUCUCUGCUAGGUAGUUGGAUCACAUCCCAAUCCACUGAAACUUCUCUAUUCUGCUGCAUCCCCAAUCUGUUACUAAAGUGCUGAAAAACGCAGUUUUCUUUUUUAUCAUGCGUGUGCAUAAUUCCUUCUGCCGUCUGAAGAUGUUUGAUGAAUUUUUUUCGUCGUCUUCCAUUUGCUUGCAAAUAAAACAGCUUACUGUUUGCCUUACUUGCUCUGAUGCUGACCAAACGUGAUUGUUGCCUUGCCCGAAGCUUUUCCACUGCUGCCAUCCCCAGAAACCGUGCUUUCAGAUCUCUUCGCAACUGAAUUUCAACUGUGUUCAACUGCCUGUGCUCCUGCACAACAUCUAAGAUGACAAUUAACUGUCUUGCUGCGCAGAACAGAAGUUUGUUGUUUCCCAGAGACUUUUUUGCCCAUUGCCGUAAUGCCUUUGCAGUUCUGGAAAAUUUGAUAUGCAGCCUUAGAAAGGGGUUGAAGACAUUGACUUCCUGCCCCCAAGCUUGCUGUACGACAUCAUGAUAUCCUGGAACUUUCGACCAGAAGGAUUCAAACCGAAAUCCCCUAUAAUUGCACACAACUGAUGCCCCCACUAGCAGUAAGGGACUGUGAUCAGACACUGUUGACGAAAGAGCAUGUAGCAUAGAGGCUGGUAACAUGAGAUCCCACUCAAUUGUGCAAAAAGCACGGUCAAUUCUGGUUUGCGUAGUGUCAUUGGACCAAGUGUACUUCCUUCCUUUGAGUCCUAGUUCCUUGAGCUCCAAAAAAUUGACAGUGUUUCUGAAUUCUCCCAUCAGACGCCGGUUCAGGUUAUCAUUACUCUUAUCCUCUGCCUGCAGGAUUAGGUUAAAGUCUCCAAUUGCUAGCCAUUUGUCCCCCACAACUGUCUUCACAUCUCGUAAUUCCCUUAGGAAAUCAAUCUUGUCCCGAUCUCCUUGUGGUCCAUAGACCGCAGUUAGCCACCAUACUGACUCACACUGCGAUGAAGCAACACACACCGUUACCGAAUGUUGUCGGUGUUCAGAAUGCACGAUGGUAAAGUAAUCCUCGUCGACUGCAAUUACUGCUCCUCCACGAGUGCCCUGAGCGGGUAGAAAGGCAAACUGCUUGCUGAACCGAACCCCCAGCGUUUCACUGAUGUCCGCUGCCUGAAUCACCUCCAUCUUUGUCUCUUGCAGUGCUGCUAUUGUACAUAUGUAGUCUUGGGCUAGAUCUUUCACCACCUUCCUUCUUGCCUUAUUGAGUUAUUGUUCAAACAUCUCACGUUCCAGUUUAGCAACAAACACUUCUGCUCACUCAUUGGGAAACCAAAAGAACACACACCAACAGCACCUCUCCAGCAUGGAAGAAGGCGCCAAAAGGGAGACUCUCCCCAAAACACAAAAACAAACACCACACCAGGUACAGGCCAUGUCCACCACGAACAUGGAAACACAAACACACACACACACACACACACACACACACACACACACACACACACACACACACACACACACACACACACAACGCGGGCCUCACCCGCUUAAGCAUCAGCAUGAAUUCCGAUGGCACUGAGGCUGUCAGUGCCCUCCACAAUCUGUAGCCCGAACAUGUCCCUGUAGUUUGUUGCAGAGUCAUCCUGCAUGGGCGCGACGAACUGGGUUCUGAACUUUUCCUCCUUUGCUGGUUCCAUCACCUCUUUUUCCUCCAACAGUCCGCAUUUCUUCAUAAGCAGUGCCGUUGCUUGCUGCUCCAUGGACAAGGCAGACUUGGGUUUGUUUGCUAGACGAGUGCUCCUUCUAUCUUUCUGCACGCUCGACUCCACCUCUUUGGCUUUCGUCGCCGGUGUCUGAAGAAGACUCUUCGCAAUUCUCUUCGUGUACAGCAAAUGUUCCUCCCCCCAAUAGCAUCAGCAACUUCCUCCGGCUGCUCCUGGGGAGCUACCGGCCCAUCGCUCACUGCUACUUGAUCCGGCCCAUCAUUGUGCGCAUUGGGAGGGAAAAGUUCCCUCGGCCCAGUAAGAUCGCGCACCACCGGCCCACUGGCUACGGACAGGCUCACAGACCCAUCCAACCAUUCAGCCACCUCAGCUCCGACCACAACGUGCCCUGCGCUGUUGUGAUCCACUUGCUCCCCAAGGGCUGCCCCCUCUGGCCCUCUGUGGGCCCUUGCUUUUGAAAAACUUCUGUUGACCCUUGUUGAGGAAGCAUCGGUCUCCCAUCUGCCUCGUCUCUCAUCGGGUCUCCCAUCUGCCUCGUCUCUGCAAGCACUAUGCAUGUGCCAAAUAAUGCAUGUACAACUCUAUUCUGAUCUCUAUUACAAUGUCUAAUCUCCACCUCACGAACUUGAACGAUUUGAAAACUGUCGAAAAAUUAAUUGUACUAAGUCAUAUGGAAUAAAGCAUCGACCUCGUUCACAAGAAUUUUAGAGGAUUUCUAACAUGAGAUUUCUCCCAUCUCACAUAACAAUUACAUGUGUCUAUCUCGAAUACCCGUGUUUUGUAUGAUUUCCAUCCAAACGGGUUGCUCUAUUUUUUUUAUCCAUAAUUCUGUUCAUUGCAUCUGCAUACCUACCAAAAUCCUGCGAUUUUUUCUACUAGGUAAAUAUGUCCGUGCGUUGCUACAGAAUGAGACUGUAUAAAUAUCAUGGAGUGGAUCAUGUAGUUAAUUUGUAGAGCUCUACAUGACCAAGUCGUGGAUAUAUGGCUGGUCUGAGUCAUAUACGGAUCAAGGUCCAUAUUAAUGAUAGAAGUUGAAUCAAACCAAAAAUUAAGAUAAAAACAUUACAUACUUUAAAAAUAGAUAAAAAUUACUAUGUUUUUGCCACUCCCAUGCUCCAAGGAGUCUCUAAUAGGUUAAUAGCAACCAAGGCCAGUAUCUAACACAGCAUAAAAAAAAGUCAGCUCAGAGUUGUGCCUCGCAUGAUCUAAGGCUAGUUCAUAUAGGCUUUUCAAUCACAUUUGCAGCAGCUGUACGUCGUUGUAACUACCGUAUCACAUUUCUUAAAUGGACAACCAUACGCGAACGGGCAUAUGUACCCGUAGACUAUUCCAAUAUAUAUGUUUAUUAUUAGGUCGGUAAACUUGGUACGUGGUGGCACAUCUUCUCUGUUAGUUCGUUGCACGCAUGUCGGACGGACACACCGAAUAACACGGCACCACGUCGAGUGCGAGGAUGAGCGCAAGACUAUCGGCAUGCUGAAUUUCUCAUCCCUUCUGCCGAGAGCUACUCACUCGCCUGCGGCCUGCCUAUAAAUUCCUCGGCCAUGUCGUCUCCUCCGACAAAAUCGAGCCAAAAGCAGAGGAGAUCAAGCUGGGAUCCAUGGCCGCUGUGAUGAUCUCCUUCAAGGCUAUUGCACUGGUGGCAGCACUCCUCCUCCCCGUUCUGGGCGCUCACGCCGAGCCGAGCUACAAUAACGUCACCUCCGCCCGCAGGGAGCUGUACUACUCCGCCGGCUCCACCCCCAGCAGCACCUGGCGGCCUGCCAGGGCCACCUGGUACGGUCGCCCCAACGGCGCCGGCCCUGACAACAACGGUAUGUGCCGGAGCUAAUGCUGCCUUGUUGUGCGUCUGAGACUGUCCUGGCGGUCGCGAUGCUGAUCGAUCGAUACGAUCUGCAGGUGGCGGGUGUGGGUACAGCAACACCAACCAGUACCCGUUCAACUCCAUGACGUCGUGCGGCAACCAGCCCCUGUUCUUGGACGGCAAGGGCUGCGGCGCAUGCUACCAGGUACGAGCAUGAGCAUGAGCAUUCUAAGCAAUGUCACAAUGCAUGAUAAUAUGCAUCGAUCUUCUUCACGUACGUUCUGAACUUCUGAUUGCUCUGCCUAUAUGCUUCAGAUAAGGUGCACCAGCAAGAACAACCCUGCCUGCUCCGGCGAGCCCAAGACGGUGAUCAUCACCGACGUGAACUACGACACCAAGGUCGCCCCCUACCACUUCGACCUCAGCGGCACGGCGUUCGGAGCCAUGGCCAGGCCCGGCUACAACGACAAGCUCCGCAGCGCCGGCAUCCUGGACAUCCAGUUCCGGCGGGUGCCCUGCAGCUACAGGGGCCUGCCGGUGAGGUUCCACGUGAUGGGCGGCUGCAACCCCUUCUACUUCGCGGUCAUCGUGUACUACGCCGGCAGCGACGGCGCCGUGGUGCAGGUGGAGCUGAAGGAGGCCAACUCCAACACGUGGCGGCCGCUCUACGAGUCCUGGGGCGCCGUCUGGAGGAUCGACCCCGGCCACCCGCUCAAGGCGCCCCUCUCGCUGCGCGUCCGCAGCGACUCCGGCAAGGUCCUCGUCGCUAACAACGUCAUCCCGGUCAACUGGAGGGGCAACGCCGACUACCGCACCAUUGCCCAGUUCCGCUGAACGCUCGCCGGCGGCAAUAGAUCACUCACAAUCAUCUGCUCGGCCGGUUCAUUACUUUUUGUAUCGUCGUCGAUCAAUCAUGUGAUUGCGAAUUUGCAGUGGAUUUUUCUUUACUGUCUUUGCGAGGUUUCUUGUGAGAUUAUUGUUGCUCCUACUUGCGAUUUGGAGAAUUAUUCUAGGUAAGUCUUGAGAAAAUUCUUUGUGCACCAUUGAAACCUAUAACAAUCCCUUCAUUGACAUCCAAAAUUAGAGGAUCCCUUCAUUGCCAUUAAUUCUAAUUUUCAUUCCCUUAUCUGUCAUUACCAUUACUUUUAGCACAAAUCACACCGUCACACCGUUAAAAUGUGAAUAAUUUUUUUCGUUAUCCCGAUUUUACCCCUCCAAUCUUUCUCUUUCCCCGAAUCACUCCAUUCCAAACCUAGCUCGAGCUGCUCGCGGACGUCGGAACUGGAGGCGCGCGCGAAUCCGGCGAGCAGGCGAGCGCGGCCCCGGUCGAGCAGGCACGCGCGGCCCCGGACGAGCAGCAGGCGUGCGCGGCCCGAGGCGGCGGCCAAGCAGGCGCGCGGCCGUGGACCCAUGCGCGCGGGCCCCGAGCGGUGCCUGAGUGGGCGAGCAGGCGCACGCGUGGCUCGGAAGAGCACCCGCCGUGCCCGCCCCUACCUAUUUUGCAGCGCCCCCGUGGCAGGCACCCCUCCCCUGUCAGCGCUAUUGCAUGUCCGGCUCCAGCUCGGUCCGUUCUUGCCUGCUCCCUAUGCGUGCAGCAGGAGAUGAGGGAUUAGAAAAAUGCUCCAAGGUUAGUAUUGUCUUUUGACCUUCCACUUAACAGCAGCUUGACUGCUCUCUAACGGUAACGGCAGAUAAGGGAAUGGAAAUUAGAAUUGAUGGCAAUAAAAAGAAUCCCUAAUUUUAGAUGGCAACAAAGGGUUUGUUAUAGGUUUCAAUGGCACAUUUCUAAUUUUCUCAUAAGUCUUUGCCUUACCAAUGUUUGACUUCUUAAUCAGUUGUUUUAGAUUAUUUUAGUAGAUGCAAAUAUGAAGCUGUAACUUGCACUUCACUGUCGCUUUUCCGAGCACUGCUGCGUGCUUAAACUGCAGUAUAUAUAGCUCCCUCAUGUUGCUCAACGUGGAAAAGCACAAAGGUUGACUAUGCCAAGUUCUCUGUUUUUCAAAUCAAUUUACAUUCAACGACAAAAUUGUAAAUUAAAGUAGAAUGAUUCAGUACAUAUUGGUCGAACUAAACUGUAAGUCUGUAAUGGUAAAGACUAAUCAAAUAUAAAAUGUAUGACCUGCCUUUAAACUAGUUCACCCGUGUUUUGUUUAGAUUCACGAGCUCCUAAAAUGCAAAUUGAGCCCAUAAAUUAUUUAGGUCAAUCAUUAGAGGACAAAAGGCCACGACCUAGUCCAGCUUCCUACUAGUUGAACCACGACAUCAGAUCAUAGGUGGGCUUGGCUUGUUGUGGGCUCAACACAUAUAUGCAAAUCCACCAACUUUUCCUUACUGGGUCCAAACUACAAAUUGCCGACCGCAAUCGGGUGCCAAAAUUCCCGCACAAACCCAUGUAGGAUCCAACGUGGCAGUCAUCCACCUAUGCGGCUGACUCGGGUGGGGUCCAUGUGGACAAUGACUCACUCAAUUACUAUAAAUUUUUUUUCCUAUGUAAGACUUUGGAAUAAGGGAUUGAAUUCUACCAAUUCAUUUGAAAUUCCUAUGAAAUACGCUCUUCCAUGGAUAAUUUGGAGAAAAAUAACCAUGAGGUCCAACCUCAUACUUUUUUCUUUUGUAUCUUAGGAUUCAUGUGUUAUUCCUGUGUAGCAUCCAAAUAUAUAUUUUGCAACUUUCCUAUGUUCUAGAUUCUUGUAGCAUUUCUGACGGGGUCAUGGGUAACAAGUACCCUAAAGAGCAGCCCUCAGGGGCCUAAGCGGAGAUUAGUAAGGUGCCGUCGGGUGGCCCAACCCGGUGGAGUGCUGAAUGCAACCGGUACAGGCCCAACAAUGAAAAAAAGACCCCCGGCCAAGAAGUAGCCGGGCGAAGGCCACGUGGCGCCUUCCUGACCCCUCGCCCCGCGGCGUGGCCGGGAGGGAUGAGCCGGCCUCGACAGGGAGCCUCCGGGGCAGGGACACCUGGGGAAGGCGCGGCGGGGACUUAACUCCCUAAGAUAUGAUGGGACAUGUGCGUAUCCCUCCCACAACAGCCGGGUCAGGGGCGCCGCCCACGAUCCGGAAGACCGAGGAGCGCCCCCGGUCAGCCAGACCAUCAUGAUGUCGUGAUCGGCGCUUACUCUAACCACGCACUGUUUUUCUAGAUAUGAACGAGGGAAAUGUAGCAGUGAAAGUUUUUAAUGAGCACAACUAGUUCUUAUUAUACACAUAGUGUAGCCUAGUCGCACAUUCCUAUUAAUAAAGAAUGAUCGUGAAGAACAUUGCAUGUAUUUUUUUUACAGAAAUGUGCUUUUACCUUUAAAUUUCAUAGGUAAUGAAAUGUUUUGUUUCAUUUUGGGGUGACAACAUGAAAGGGAGGAGGCCCAUGCCCCCUAUGGUAGACGCAGUCCAUAGGUGUGCACAAAUUUUACCAUAUAAAUUAAAUAUUAGUCUCCUCAAUAAUUUACACCUUUUAGAUGUUUAGUGGCUUCAGUUUCAUUAGCAUAACCUUUUAUUUCGGCGAUCUACCUCAAAAGUUUUCGGUAGAUUUUUUUGUGAUGUGAUGUGAUGUGACCUAAUCAUUAAGACCUUACCAAUAUAAUUCCUAAUAUAAUUAAAAAAUAUAAGUGUUGAAGAAUAGGAAAAUACUAAUCAUGCAUGAAACACUACAACCAAUGUAUUGUGUCAAAAUCAGCCGAAUUGCUAUAACACUAGUACAGAACACGGUAUUAGUUCCGGUUGGGAAUUGAACUCAAGACCUGCUGCCUCGUGUAUAGUUUCCUUAACACCCUAUCUACACAGUACAUGUGACUCUAGAUGGGAUGCUUUCAUUUUAAAUUGACCCGUGAAGAACCCUUUAGUCUCAUUUGGUAACCCCAACUGGGACUAAAGAGUCCUUUAGUUUCGGUUGGAGCCUCCAACCGGAACUAAAAGGUGACUCUUUAGUCCUGGUCGGUGUUACCAACCGGUACUAACUUUUAAUCCCGGUUGGUGUCACCAUCCGAGACUAAAGAGGGACUAUCAAGGAUAGAUCCCCAGUUACCCGCAAGGAAGCUAUCCGCAAUGAAAACGAAGUCGGACUCCUACUGGGAUUCCUCUGUGAUCCUAAUAGGACCCUACCCUGUAACUCUACUAGGACUCCUACCUUAUAACCGACUAGUAACCCACCUCUGGGAUAUAAGGAGGGCAGGGAUACCUAGAUCGGUAGAGCAGCCAAUAUGCAAUUCAAUACCCAAGCACAGGGUGCAAUAUACAAUACCCCUAAACAGGAUGUAGGACAUUGCGCUACUCUGGCGGACUGAAUGUGUGUCUUGUAUGCUCACUUUUACCUUCAAGUUUCAGAUUCGGCGAUCCCUCACCAAACAAUCUCCUACAUUAGGGAAUCUCUAGGUAGGCUGGUGGUAAAAAUACCAGCAGUUGACGCUCACCGUGGGGCAGAUCGUAGAGAUGAUCGCACAAGCCUGAGGGACCUCUUCAUCAAGAUUAUCCACUCCACGCAGGAUCAAUUCAUCGAGUUUGAGAUCGAAUCUUUGAGCGAACAACUACAUCAACCUCGACUACUCAGCUCGAAUCCAGCUCGCGCCGCACAAUUGACACACCAGCGACUGCUUCAACUACUCAUCUCGACUAGAAACUAGUCGAGGAUGGGCCUCACACCGUCGACAACAAGUCGGGGACAAAUUCUGACUAGUUGGCUUCAUCAACAACCGCCAUGGCUUCAUCGACAAUCAUCCACGAAUCAAGCUAAGUCACUUAUACCUUUUCCGACUUGUUCUUCACAGGACCGGCUACUAUUUUGGGUACGUCUCUCGACUGGAAUUACCCUCGGGGGCUACACCAUGAUGGAGUACUUCUAAGGUUUGUUGACUAACAACCCACACGCUUGGUAAAUUGAGUUCAUAGGGUGCCGCCCACAUGCUUGGUACACCAAGUUUUGUCAGCUCGCAGCGGUUACACCCUACGGACAUGCGCGCCGCAACACGCGCUCUCGCUGACUACUUUAUGCCAACGAGCAUUCUCUUUGUCGCAAUGCCGAUUUCUUAUUUUUGCAUUCGUUGUCUUCCCUUAACAGUCGCUAAUCUACUCGGGUAGCACAUGCCUUAAUCGUGAAAUCUCGGCUCUUCUAUCACACCUAACGCCUCUAUGCGUACACGGGAUAAAGAUCUUAUACACGCUAUGAGCAACAGCUAAAACGAGACCAGGUGCUUAAACAUAACAGGUGGACUACUCGGGAGAUUUACAUGGCCUAAACAAGAGCAUGGCACAACAAAUUUAUUUUUAUACUGAAUAAAUUUCUGUAUAUUUGCAUUAUGCUACAUAAUGUAUGCAUUGUCUUUUUUCAGAUUGAGCUACGGCAACAACUCUAAAGUUCACUCGGCACAUCUACGAUGGCUUCACUAGCUACCAGGCUCGGGGGCUGGGCACCAAUAACUAGUCGUGGUUUCUACGGCUCGCCUAGCUCGUAAGCUUGGGGGCUGGACGCUGCAAAACCACUCGGAUGAUGACUCAUGUGAAGACUGAAGGCGAAAAAGGUAACCCUAGGUACUGCAUGGUUAAAUAACCAGUGGCGGCCUAAGGGUCCUUUGGGAUAAGAUCUAAUUUAAGUGGUAUUUUAACCAUCAAUUCAUAUUCUACAAAAUUCUACAACGUGCAUGCCACGUUCUUUUGGAUCUUUUUUCCAAAUUUGGGAUAUGGAUUCAAGGAUCGGGGGCUACAGGAUACGUGUCAUCAGCGACUUGUUUUUCAAAUCUAUUUGGAAGACAAAUGAAAGAAGAUUCAAGACUAAUUGAACACUCAACCUGAUUCCUCGAUUCAACCUAAAGCUCGGGGGCUACUUCAUCGCACCCCAUAGAGAAGAUAAUUUUUGAAGACUUAAAAUAUACUUGGGCAAGAGCACCUCGCAACCUCAAAAUAGACAGGAAAGUACACGAGAAGAUACAUUCUAGACGAAGUUCAGAAGAACUCGAAGAUAACUUUAGAAGUACUUGGAAGCCUGCACUACUCGGCUACGAAGAGCUCGGGGCCUUGUCAAGGAUAAAUCCCCAGGUACUCGCAAGAAAGCUACCCGCAGGGAUCAUGCUACAACUACUUUGACUUUGCGAGGACGCUCGGUGACCCACCAAUGACUACUUCAGCUACUCGUCUCGACUAUAAAACUCUGGAGGGAUACCUCCAAGGUGGUAGAAUGUAGGUGGGGUAUCGCUGAGAUCAGGAGCUCCAAGCCCACCGAGGGAUACCACCGAGCUGUCGGUGUUUAACCUCCAAGCCCACCGAGGGAUAACCCUGGUAGAUUGUAGGUGGGGUAUCACUGAGAUCAAGAACUCCAAGGUGCAAGGAACAUGAAACUUUAGACAGGUUCUGGCUGCAGUAUGCGUAAUACCCUACGUCCUGUUUGAUGGUUUGUAUUGCCUUAGAUGUGGAUUGUUGGUUGAUGCUUUGGAGAGGGUCCCUGCCCGCCUUUAUAUAGUCUGGGGGACAGGGUUACAUGGAAAUUUUAGCCCAAUACUAUCUUAAGAGUCCUAUCCGAGUACUAUUCGAGUAGUUUCCUUCUGUUUCGACUAGUUCUACUCUUGUACGAGUAGAUACAAUUGGUGUAGGGUGCGGGCAAUGUCACAUCCCUUAUCCUAGAAUAUGUACGCCAUGUACACCGUCCCGUGGCCCCGAGUAGGACAAGCCCCCGAGCAAUUCAUAGUCAAGUACUGUAGGCUUCCGAGUAUUUCUAAAGGCAUCUUCGAGUUCUCCCGAACUCCGUCUUGAAGGUGUUUUUCGAGUAGUUCCUUGACUGCAUCGAGUCUGUGAGGUGCUCAUGCCCCGAGUCAUUCCUGAGCCUUAGGUUGAAUCAAAAGAUUAGGCUGAGGGUCAAAGUAGUCUUGAAUCUUCUACUCUUAUCUUUCAAAAAUUUAAAAAAUAAGCCGUCGAUGACACAUGCCCUAGAUAUGAAAAAAAGGACAAAGAGUCAUGCAGCCCCGGAACGUUGAAUCCAAAUCCCAAGAUAUGGAAAAAAGGACAAAGAGUCGUGGCAUGCAUUGUGUAAAAAAUUAAGAAUUUGAUUUGAUGGUUAAAAUAGGCAAAUUGGUUCAGAAAUUGGAAAAACCUCUUUUUUUGGAAUGAGAUCCCUAAAAAAUGGUUAAACAAAUAACUUCCCCAAAGUAACCCUAAAUUACCGCUCAAAACAAAUCUUAUCCUGAGAAAAUCUCUUCAGCUUCCGCAUAGUGAUACGCCGAGUUGUUUCCUGCGCCCAGCCCCGAGUAUGGGAGCCAGACGAGCUGUCAAAAAUAUGCUGAGUGCCCUGUUGCGCCCAGCCCCGAGCACAUGGGCUAGACGAGCUGCCAAAGGUACGUCGAGUGCCUUGUCGUGCCCAACCCCCGACCAUGGGAUCUAGAUGAGCCACUGAAGGUACGCCGAGUAGUGUAGGUACCGGCUGAGUCAGAGGAGAUAUGCCACAUGGUCGGUGGCGCUAGCCCCUGAGCCUAGGGGUCGGCCGAGUCGCCGCUAGCACGCCGAGUGGUCUGUGCCGAUGAAGUGAUGUCCAAGUAAGGCAGCUCUCGGGAGCAUACCUCACCGAGCAGCAUGAUCCACGUCCGAUCCCCUACAAGGUAAACAUAAAAAUAUAUUGUAACUUAUAUACAAGAUAUUUAGUCAGGAGCGUAUCCCGGCAUUGUAAAAUGCAUGUAAAAUUUUUCGCGUCUUGCUCUUCCUAGAUCACAUAAUUUCUCCGAGUAGGUAGCCUACAUAGCCGUAGCCCAUAGCGCAGGGAGCAUGGCCGCAUGCACGCGUAGGAACAUAGGCGUAAAGAAGAGUUGAGGUCUCACGGAUUAAAGCGUGUGCUACCCGGGUAUUUUAGUGACCAUUAAGAGAAACCUAGAGCAGUCGGCGCUGCGCGAAAAAAGAGAACACUCGUGGAGCGCAUAAUAUACACUCGUUAGGUGUAGUCCCGACUACAAGGCCGAAGUUGCAUGAGUAAUCGGGAACGCAAUUAUGGUGUGGCCGUGGAGGCGUAUGGUUAAUAUCUAGAGAUAUAAAAAAUAUUAAAGCAUGACUUAGCUUGAUUCGUGGGCGAUUUGUCGAUGAAGAUGUAGCGCUCGUUGAUGGAGCCGCGAUGGUUUGUUGAUGAAGCCUGACUAGUCAGAGUCGAUUCUGACUAGUUAUUGACAGUGUGAGGCCCGCUCCCGACUAGUUUUGAAGUCGAGACGAGUAGUCGAAGAAGUCGUCGGUGGGUCAGUGAGCGUCUUCGCGAAGUCGAAGUAGUUGUAGCAUGAUCCUUGCUUGUAGCUUCCAUGUAGUAGUCGGAGCAAUCGUCUCCGAUCUUGAGCAGGCGAUUCAAGUCCUCUUCCAAUGCGGAGAGGGUCUCAAAUCCCAUGGCCUUCUGGUAAACAGUGGCCGUGUUGCAUAGCUCGAACGGUAAUCAGGUACGUAGAUCCUUAGACCGAAUCAGAUCCGAUCUGAGGAGACCUGGUGCGGCACAAGUUGAAAUCGCAUUGAAAACAGACUCCUUCUCGAUCUCCUUGGCGAGAUCAGGGAGCAGCGUCUCGUCGAGGUUAUCAAUGAACUCGUCAAGACUGCUAUGUUGGCUUGCCACAGAUGCCUCCGGCUUUAGUCAUCGAUGAGGCGCCGGCGAAAGCUCCACGAGCCGAAGAUGAAAGUUUUGCCCUCGUCGAGCAUCGCUGGUGAAGUUGAAAGAUGGCAUCGAGUUCAUCGGUGGAUACUCGAUGAACACCCCUACCUAGCACACCAGCUAUCGAUGUUUAACCUCCAAGCCCACCGAGGGAUAACCGAGGUGGUAGACUGUAAGUGGGGUGUCGCCGAGACCAGAAACUCGAAGGUGCAAGGAACACGAAAGUUUAGACAGGUUUGGGCUGCAGUAUGCGUAAUACUCUACAUCCUGUGUGGUGAUUUGUAUUGCCUUAGAUGUGGAUUGUUGGUUGAUGCUUUGGAGGAGUUACUACCCGCCCUUAUAUAGUCUGGGGGGACAGGGUUACAUGAAAAUCCUAACCCGAUACUAGCUUAAGAGUCCUACCCGAGUACUACUCGGGUAGUUUUCUUCUGCUCCGACUAGUCUUUCUCUGGUACGAGUAGUUACAAUUGGUGUAGGGUGUGGGCCAUGUCCCAUCCCUUAUUCUAGAAUAUGUACGCCAUGUUUGCAGCCCCAUGGUUCCGGGUCUGACAGGGACUUUUAGUCCCCGUUGGUGGCUCCAACCGGGACUAAAGGUCCCCCGCCCCUAGCCGUUGGAUCCGGGACUAAUGCUUUCAUCAAUUCCAGGACCAACCCCAGCCGGGGCUAAAGAGGUGGAUGAAAGGUCUAAGGUGGUCAACCAACGCAUCUUUAUCAAGCCUUUCUACUCUCCCAAUCCUAGCUUUUUUUUAUGGUUCAAUCAACAAUUAUUUAAGUGAUGCAACAUUUUUUCACUAUGAUAGGUUCAUUCCAACAAAUUUCUUUUCUUCACUGUUUAUCUUACCAACUCACAACAUUUUCUUACUCAACAUUUCUGUUGUCUAGUCUCAACUGUUCAUGGUUCAGCACAACCUCUUCUUUUUUUAUAAAAAGUUAAUUCCAAGUAUUUUCCAUUUUCAACAAAUUUUCAGACUCAAUAUUUUUGUUCUGCUUUAUCUUCAACAUUUUACUAGCAACAUUAUUUGAGUGAUGCAACAUAUAUUUUUCACUAUAGAUUAUAGAAGGUUCAUUCCAACUAUUUUCCUUUCUUCAACAUUUUUUCUUGCCAUCUCGCAAUAUUUCUUUACUUAAAAUUUAUAUUGUUCGGUCCCAACUUUUUGGUUCAGCCAAACUUUUUCUUUCUAAUAAAUAGUUCAUUCCAAGUAUUUUCCAUUUUCAACAAUUUGGCUUAUUGAACUUGCUAACUUUAUAUUCUUUUAUUCUACAUACUAAAGUAUUCGUUUAUUAAAUAUUUUAUUAUUUAUUUGCCAUUCAACCAACAAUCUUUUUAGCCAUGCCACACUUCUUCAACAAUUUUCUUACCACGCUGACCUAACAUUCUUCUCUGUACAUUAUAUGUUUCUUCGAGAUAUUCUUACUCAACAGUUUUUACUUGUCCAGUCCCAUCCUUUUCUUUUAUCAUUCGGAUAACAGUUCUUUUACUGAUGCAACAUUUUCUCCCAUACAAAAUGUUGAUUCGGUAUGUUCCCCCUUUUUCCUACAUUAUGUUGUCCAUCAUUAUUUUUGAAAUUCUAGUUCAGCAUUUUAAGCUAAGUUUUCAUUUGUAAAUAUACUAAGUUUAGUUAACCAAUAAAAUACUAGGGAAAUUCAAGUCAGAUAUGGAAAUAUAUAACAACUUAUAUAUUGAUCCAUGCUUUACAUAGAUGGCAAGUUAUUACACAUUUAUUCAUUAUUUUGCUAUUUUCAGGAAUAUGGAAGGUCCUUGACCAUCCGAAAAGAAAAUAAUGGGCUCAUUCCAAAAAAUUGGAUGACUUUUUAAUGAAUAAAAUUAACCUCUUGAUCUGUCAUAACUGUCCAUUUGCAUCUUCGUACUAUUACCAGCACAACUCUAAUAAUGGAUGGCAUGUAGUGACAAAAUUGAUAUGGGGAGUAUAUGAUGUGAUGAGAAGAAUUUGUUGAUGUAAUAUUGCAACAUGUUCAUUUAGCACUUUUUUGCAUCAACAAAUAAAUAAGACUUGCUUUUACAAUGGAAAAUAUGGCAUUUUGGCUACUGGCUUUGAGCACCCCAGCAUAAAUUGCUAAUUCUCGAUUGCAAACAAUUGAUGAGCCCACCAGGCAACAUAGAAAAAGGAAUCUGGCUGUCAAAGAAGAAUAAGUUAAAGAGUUCGGCAGCCUGCAGACUCAUUCACGAGAAGCCUAAAAGAAACAUAAAGGGCCCAACAAAAGAAGCCUGAGUGGGAAGGAAAGAAACGAGCCCACGAAAAAAAAGAAGCCUGCGACGGAUGAAUUUAAAAAGCCCGCACCAACUCGCAUUCGUCCCAAAAUAAAUACAACUCUCGCUUUCCGAGAAGUCAAACAACUCUUGUCUUUUUCGGAUGGAGGAAGUAGUAGUUUUGAUGCAAUGGAAGAGGUCGACCACUAGACAAUAGGAAGCCUCAAAUCAGCUAUGCCAAGGUUUAAAUGGAAAGAUACAAUGAAAUUUAUCGAUUUUAAUAAUUAAAUUUAGGGAGUUGCUGCCUAUCAUCCUAAUGAUUUCAUAUCUAGUUAUUAAUCACUUUUUUAUCCAAUAGAAUCUAGACACAUCAUCAAUAAAACAAAUAUGGAAAAGUGAUUGAUAACCACUAAUAUCACUCAAAAACACAAGGUAGGACACCAAUGGAAAACCAAGUGAUAAAAAAAGGAAAUUACUAAGAUUUCCUCAAACACGAGAAACAGAAAAUAGAGAACCACAUCUCCCAUGUUAUCCUGCCUGCACUCCGAACAACCCUUCUCCACACUCCACGAGCGAGUACACAACUAGGCGCUUGGCAGUGAAGAAGCUAUGAAAGGCAAUCGUUGGGAAACACCCUGCCAAAGGCAAAGUAAAGAUUGAACAAAAAUGCAAGGCUGGCAGAAUUAGAAGAAUAUCGAGCAGAAAAAAAGGUACUCACCUAUGAAAAACUUGAUCUCUUUGUAAUGAAUUUUCUUAAGAAACAUAUCUGAGCAAAAGGAGAUAUCCAGAUUUUCCACUUCAUCCAGCGUACAUCUCUGUGUUUUUGAUAUGCAAGCACUAAGAACUCUGAAAAUGAAAACUAACUAAAAAUGAAUUGGCAUACAGGGCUAGAACUAUCAUAUAGUAGUAGUGGCUUGUUUCUUGAAACAAAAAUUUCAAAAUAGAAAAUUAGAAUUGAAAUAUACAUUGGUUAACUGAACCAAUUUUGUGUUGAUCUAUUAACGGUCUGGUUCUUGAGUUGGCAGUCCAUGAUUUGUUAGUGACGAAACACACAUGAGAAAAAAUAAAAAGGAUGAGAAUAGUACGCUCACGUAUAUAUUGAUGGAAAAAAAUAAAAGUUUCAGUUUUAAAUUAAUCCGAAGAUAAAUCAUGACCAUGACGAAAAUUGCGUAAAGAAAACGAACAUAUGUAAACUUGCUGAUCAAGUGAUUUAAGAUAAAACAUUGCAGCAGUAAGAUCAACCCUAACCAGAUCAUACUAGGUAUGAAAGACAUAGUUAGGGACAGAAAACCGUACGUCUCUAGACGCACCGGAAUAACCGGGUAAAGAAGACGACGGCGACGAUCAGCACCUCCGCGCGCUUGACGACGCCGAGUCGCGCCCCACUAACGAGGAGGAAGACAAGCCGUGGCGACAAGGAUGUAGAGGAUGGUGAUGUGGAAGCGUUCGAGCAGUCACGCAGAGCGCUUCCCAAAAAUCUUAUUCGCCCUCUCCCGGUGCAGGAUCGCUGAGGACGAGGUUCCGGAGACCUGCUCUCCCGAUCGCCGGUGCACGCCGACGAACGGGAUGAAGUAGCGUACGCGGCGGCGCAGCAGGCAGGUCGAGGCGUGUUGUGCGUCUUCUGUUGUGUUCUGUUUCUAGCCGGCACCCGUGCGUAUUUAUAGAAAGGAACCGCUAGGGUUUUUAGCAUCCCAAAAACCAAGUCGAUUACGAGUCCCAAAAAUUCCGCGUGUGUAAUCCGUAAUAGAUUCAAAGUGGCAAAACAAAUCUGCAAAAGGAAGCCGCGUUCCCGCAACAAUUGGACCGGAUUUUGGUGGACCAUUCACGCGCACGUUGCGUGCGCGCGCCCUUCGCCUGGCGAGGCGAGGCGAGCGAGCGCGCGCGUGUGUUCUUCCUUCUUCCUCUCACCCACACUUGUAAGAGCAUGGAGUGCAUCCAACUAUUUAAGUUGGAUUUUCUCCACCUCCACUAGCAAGGUGGGACUAACUUGUUGCCAUGCACCUUUACACUAAUGGGCCUUUGAGAUUUUAUUGGAAUUAUUUGAAUUUAUAUGGUGAGCCUUUAGGGCCCAAAUAUUCCAAUAAUCCCCCACCAGAUCUCAAAGUCUCAUCAUGACUUUGCCUCAACCCACUGUUGUUUGAUAUACCAUUAUUUCAAUGGAGACUGUUAAGUUGAACUUCCAUCUAGAACAGCAAGUUACACUCAUUCACAACUUGAACAAUGGACUAAGCCUUGAAUUGCAAGUUUUGUACGUGUGAGUUUCACUUACAGUCAAACUGAUACUUGACCUCCAGUAGGCGACUUCGCGGUUGGAGCAUAUAGGUCAUACUCUCUUAUCUCUUCAUGAGCUUAAUAGAGAUCAUCUGAAUCUCACAGACUGCGACCGUCCAACAGUCGGGCUCGUAUAGGUGUAUUCUUUCAAGAACAUUCUGCAAGAUAACGUCUUUGCUAAUUAAAGCUAACAGAAUACAUUAAGGCCAAUGCCAACCUGCCAUGUAGUAAUCGAGAGUAUUGCAUCAUUCUCGAGUGAGUUAAAAGGUUACUCUCAUGCUAACCUCUAGCUUGUUCUUCCCUAAUCCUAAUUCACAGGAUCUCCGAUCAUAUAGGUUGGGUUACCACUAGGGAAUAGCUUAUACGGGUCUCAAACCCAUCUCCUUAGAUGCAUUGACUAUCACAUUGCGUGACAGCCCCUUGGUGAACGGAUCAGCCAGAUUUUUCUCAGUGUGGACAUAACCCACAGUAAUAACUCCGGAGUUUCUCAUUUUUCUGACUGAUUUUAACCAUCUCUUGAUAUGUCUUGAAGACUUUAUAUUAUCUUUUGAACUGUCUACCUUGACAAUCACCGUUUGAUUGUCACAGUCCAUCAAGAGCUCACGAAGCCAAUCGGCUUCCACUGUAGCUGUAUCUAGUGCUGUUAGUUCUGCCUCCAUAGUAGACCUCGUCAGGAUAUCUGUUUGCAUGAUCUCUAUGAAAUAGCAGCACCGCCAAGAGUGAAAAUGAAUCCACUAGUGGCAUACAACUCAUCUAGAUCCGAUAUCCAAUUAGCAUCACUGUAUCCUUCUAGUACUGCAGGAAAGCCGGAAUAAUGAAUCCCGUAUUCUAUAGUACCCACCAAGUAGCGCAUUAUGCGCUCAAGCGCACGCCAAUGAUCAUCUCCCAGAUUACUAGUAAACCGGCUCAACUUGUUUACAGCAAAAGAGAUGUCAGGCCUUAUUGCACUCGCAAGAUACAUGAGUGAGCCAAUCAUCUAUGAAUGUCUCAAUUGGUCUCUGCCAAUUCUUCUGUUCUUUCAAAGGAUCAAGCUCGGAUCAUAAGGAGUUGGAGUAGAUUUUCUAUCCUUAUAGCCAAAGCGAUUCAACAUUUUCUCCAUAUAAUGGGAUUGCCAAAGAGUAAUCCUAUUCUCUUCCUUGGUCAGCUUGAUGUUAAGAAUAACAUCAGCCUCACCAAGAUCUUUCAUCUCAAAGUUUUAACACAAGAAUGUCUUGACCUCAUUGAUUACAUCAAGACUAGUGCCAAAGAUCAGUAUGUCAUCGACAUACAAACACAAUAUAACUCCUUGGCCCUCACCAUAGCGGUAAUACACACAUCGAUCAGCCUUAUUGACACUAAAGCAUGCUGAUAUGAGUGUCAAGUUGAAUUUCUCAUGCCAUUGCUUAGGUGCUUGCUUCAGGCCAUACAAAGAUUUAUACAACUUGCACACCUUGUCCUCAUGACCCUCUACUACAAACCCAUCAGGCUAUGUCAUGUAGAUUUCAUCUUCCAGCUCUCCGUUGAGGAAAGAUGUCUUAGCAUCCAUCAGGCAGCCAGGGAGAGUAGAACACGAAUAGUGGUCAAUCUCGCAACAGGUGAGUAAGUAUCAAGGAAAUCUUCGCCUUCUUUCUAGGUGUAACCCUUAGCCACAAGAUGAGCCUUGCACUUAUCAAUAGUACCAUCAGGCUUAAGCUUCUUCUUGAACACCCACUUGCAACUCACAAGUUUGCAACCAUAUGGUCUUUCGACCAGCUCUCAAGUUCCAUUGGAGAGAAUGAAGUCCAUCUCGCUACGGACAGCUUCUUUCCAAUCAUCCGCAUCAGGAGAUGAGAAUGCCUCAGUGAUUAUUUUGGGAGAAUCAUCUAUGAGAUAAACAGUGAAAUCAUCAAGAAAAGACUUUGCAGUCUUUUGCCUUUUGCUCCUCCUAGGAGCAUCACUGUGAAUCUCCUCAUGAUUUGAUUCAAGUGUGUAUUCAUCAUGCUCAGAAAAUUUAACAGAUUCAGGAGUUGUAUUCAUUGUUUCAUUCAGAGGUAAUAAAGAUAUAACAUGCAAGUCUUUCAUAGGAAAAAUAUUCUUAAAAAAAGUAGCAUCACGAGACUCGAAUAGUGAAUUUACAUGCAUAUCAGGCACCUCAGAUUUAACUACUAGAAAUCUAUAAGCAAUGUUAAGAUGUGCAUAACCCAAAAAGAUACAAUCCACAGUUUUAGAUCCCAACUUGUGCUUCUUGUUGAUUGGCAUAUUCACCUUGGCCAAAUAACCCCAUGUGCGCAAGUAAGAGAGUGAAGGUCUUCUCCCAAUCCACUCCUCGUAAGGAGUCUUUUCCUUAUUCUUUAUGGGAACUUUAUUCAGGAUAUGACAUGCAGCCAAUACUGUCUCCCCACACCAUGCCUUAGAUAAUCCAGCGGUGUUUAAUAUGGCGUUAACCAAGUCAGACAAUGUGCGAUUCUUCCUUUCAGCAAUCCUGUUUGAUUGGUGUGAAUAGGGAGGCGUCCUUUCAUGAAUAAUGCCGUGUUCCGCACAGAAUAAGUCAAAAUCGUUAGAGAAAUAUUCACCUACUCGAUCGGACCUAAGUCGUCUGAUCUUUUUCUCAAGUUGGGUUUCUACUUCAGCCUUAUAGAUUUUAAAGCAGUUAAGAGUCUCAUCUUUCGUUUUCAACAAGUACAUAUAGUAAAAUCUAGUUGCAUCGUCAAUCAAGGUCAUGAAAUAUCUUUUUCCACUUUCUGUUAACACGCCAUUUAUCUCAUAGAUAUCUGAAUGGACGAGUUCUAGAGGUGCCAAAUGUCUCUCCUCUGCCACCUUGUGAGGUUUUCGAGGUUGCUUAGAUUGCACACAACUAUAACACUUAGAACCUUUGAGUAUAGAAAAAUUUGGAAUUAAACUCAUGGUGGAAAGUCGAAACAUAGAGCCAAAAUUCAGAUGACAUAAACGCGAGUGUCAAACAGAUGCAUCGCUCUCAUUUAUACCAUCAGAAAUUAAGUUCGCGGACUUAUUACAAUAAUCUGUAACUGAAAAAUGGAACAAGCCUCCGCACUCAUAGACUUUACCGAUAAAUUGUCCACACUUAGACACGGCAAAUUUAUUGAACUCAAUCACUACUUUAAACCAUCCCUACACAAAAGGGAGCCACUAACUAGAUUCUUGCCGAUAGUAGGGACAUGCUGCACGUUUUUCAGCUGCACGAUCUUUCCCAAGUAAGCUUCAGAUCGACCGUGCCAACACCACGAACAGUAGCAUGCAACCCAUUGCACAUAAUCAUGGUAGAAUCCCGAGCAGUCUGGUAAGAAGAAAAUAAGGUAGCAUCAGAACGCACAUGAACAUUUGCACCAGUAUCAAGCCACCAACUAAUACAUUGAAAUACUGAAAAAAUGAAGGUAAAGAAUUAUACCCACUGAUUUUUACUCCAGCCAUGGUGACCGUGUUCGCAGUCUUCUGCUCAGGUGAAGGCUUUCUUUCUUUGCGGUGUGGACCCUUCUUUGCCCAAUGAUCGGUAGAUCCACACACAAAACAGCCUUUACCUUCCUUGAAUUUCUUUUUCUUGAAAGUAGUGGUAGGCUGCCACUUGGUCUUCUUUCCCUUGUCCCUGCCUUUGCCGUGAGACUUUUGCACCAUGUUGGCACUAGUCUGGCCUUCAGCAGCCUUAGAUCGCCCAUCCUUGGCCCAAGCUUUUACCUCAACAUCAAGGGAUGCUAUUAGAUCAGACACUGAUAUCUCCAUCCUUUUAUGUUUGAGAGUAGUGGCGAAAUCCCUCCAUGAAGGAGGCAAUUUGGCAAUGAUGCCACCAGCGACAAACUUGUCGGGUAGGUUGAUCUUGAGGUGCUUAAGCUCCUUGGCCAUGCACUGUAUCUCAUGAGCCUGCUCGACUACAGAUUUUCUAUCGGUCAUCUUGUAGUCAUGGUACUGCUCCAUGAUGUACAACUCAGCGCCAGCAUCUGUGCCGUCAUAGUCAGCCUCCAGGGCGUCCCAUAACUUUUUAGCAUCUGUGUGAUGGAGGUACACAUCCUGUAGAUGAUCUACGAGUGUACCGAUCACAGCGCCCACAAAAAGUGUGUUGGCCUCAGUAAAAGCCUUCUCCUGCUCAGGAGUAAGAGGCCCCUCAGGUUUGCCCUUGGACACCCACAGCACGUUCAUGGCAGAGAGCCACAGAAUCACUCUCGUUUGCCAUCUCUUAAAGUGCUCGCCAGAGAACUUCUCGGGGCUCAGAGCAUCAACAAAUUCAGCCAUGAAACUGAAAUUCCUAUAAUAAGAUUUUUGGAUUGAUGGAAAAAAAUAAGAGUUUCAGUUUUAAAUUAAUCCGAAGAUAAAUCAUGACCAUGAUGAAAAUUGCGUACAGAAAAUGAACAUAUGUAAACAUGCUGAUCAAGUGAUUUAAGAUAAAAUAUUGCAACAGCAAGAUCAACCCUAACCAGAUCAUACUAGGUAUGAAAGAUAUAGCUAGGGACAGAAAACCGUACGUCUCUGGGCUCACCGGAAUAACCGGGUAAAGAAGACGACGGUGACGAUCAGCACCUCCGCGCGCUUGAUGACGCCAAGUCACGCCCCACUAACGAGGAGGAAGACGAGCCGUGGCGAUGAGGACGUAGAGGACGGCGAUGUGGAAGCGUUCGAGCAGUCGCGCAAAGCGCUUCCCAAAAACCUUAUUCGCACUUUCCUGGUACAGGAUCGCUGAGGAUGAGGUUCCGGAGACCUGCUCUCCCGAUCACCAGUGCACACAGACGAACGGGAUGAAGUAGCGUACAUGGCGGUGCAGCAGGCAGGUCGAGGCGUGUUGUGCGUGCGGCGGAGACGGGCGGUGUGGGGAGGGUGGCGAUCUAGACGGGAGGUCGUCUUGCGGAGCCUCCGCCGCCGGCGUUCCUCCGCCUCCCCUCGCCGCCUCCCACGCUCCUACAAAUCUUACGCAUCGGGUGGCGAAGCAGCUGGAGGACUUGGUGCCUGGGUCUUCGCAACCCGACGUCGGCGGCGGGGCGGGGGUACGGCGACGAAGAAGAAAGGUUGCAUGGGCCGCCGAUAGAGACGAAGCCGCGCGACGCGUCGAGAAGCUGGCCGAGGGACGGCCCGUGCUUGCGCCUUUUCACCCUAGAUGCCGGAUCCGACGACAGAGAGAAUUUUAGGUGACGUGGCCCAAUGAAAUCGCCCGGUUUGAGCCUAGGAUUCGUGUUUUGAGAAGAUUACAUGCAUUCUGCGGAGAAAGAAGAGAGAACCAAGAGGUAUGGGCCAACAAGUUGGGCCAGCUUAGCAUUAUAUGGAUCGAAUGAGAGAGAGAGGCCCACUAGACCAACCAAAAUCGCCAAUCACGGCGUUUGCACCGCGCGCGUGGGGAUCCCGCGCCAAAACGCUGGGCCAAGGCAAGGAACAAGACUGGAAGUUGCGUCUUCGGCCAUGAGCAGGGCGUGAUGGCGUGAAGCACCAGAAAUAUUUAGAAAGCAAAGCUAUUAAUAACUAAGCACAAGACCAGCAGCGAAAUGGUACGUGCUGUGUUUUGGACGCUUCCCGCAGAUGCAUGAUUGUUUGCUAUGAGAAUAUGAGAUCAAGUGCGUGCGCUGCUAACCACAUGCCGAAGUAGGAGCACUAUGUUGUCUCUAAUUCACCGGUGAGCACAAACUCCAUCUUGCAUAUUGCUGAAGCUAGCACAAGUGUGAUGUAUGCUUGGAGUUUGCAGCCUACUGUAGCUUACAGGAGUAAAUUUUAACCAAAUGUGAUAGCUUAAUUGAUCAAUACAAUUUGUUCUUCUAUGAAAAGCAAGAAAAAACCUGGUUCUUGUAUAUUAUCGUUAUCAUAUUAUAAUUGAAAAAGUUCAAUUUACUCCCUUCAAGUAUAGCCAAAGUAUGAAUAAACCCUUAAACUAUAACUUGGUUUAAUUUACCUCCUAAACUAUACUAUUUAGUUCAUUUUAUCCUAUAAUACAAUUUGCCUUUUUUUCUCCAUACACAAGUUGAGUUCUAAUUUUAAAUUUUGCAGGGUAGUAGUGGCCAUCACAAUGCACUUAAAAGAAUGUUAUAAUUUUUUCAUCGUUAUUUUUCAUAUAAUUUUGAACUCCAAUGAUUAAUUUAUUAUUAAAUAGCCUACCUAUCAAAAAAAUUAUGACGUAUUUUUUCUAACAUGUGUUAUGAUGUGUACUAUCAUCUUGUAAAGUUUUUACUUAAAAUUGCAUCUAUGCAUGGAGAAAUGAAAAAGACAAAGGGCGUGAUUGGUUACCUGGUUAUAGCCCAACCAGGUUCGCGCGAUGCGGGCUCCCGACGAUUGGUUACCUGGUUGGGCCUCCGAACCAGGCUCGCGCGAUGCAUACCUCCCCUCCCACCCAGGUCCCCGCGAUGCAGAAAUGAAACCCGUUUUCCCCGAACCUGGUGGCGGCGAUGCGAGGGCGGGCGGGCCGAGGCAGGCGGCGGUGGUCGCGGGUGUCCAGGCGCGCGCUCCCGCCAUGGGCUAGGGUUACCGCUCCCCCCCUUUCGCGCCAUUUCCAUCCUCGCGCCAUUUCCAUCCUCGCGCGUUCGCGCGUGCGGCAAGGGCUAGGGUUUGUGCGCCGUUCGCCUCCGCUAUAAGACACCCCCGACGCCGCCCCCGCGCGCUGCCAUUUCCGCCGCUUGAGCUCCAGGUGAAUCUCUCUGCUCUCAUCCUCUUCUCUCCCUAUGGUUGCCGAGAUCUGACUUGUUUCCUCCCUAUCCUCUCUGUAGCUGUGAUUGCUGGGCGAAUCUCUGUUCGUCGAGGCAAGUAUUCCCCCCUCAAUCGCCGAGAUGUGGCGUUCCCUCUUCGAUCUAUCCCCCCCCCCUCUGUAUCUAUCUUCCCCUCUCCUUCCUUCGAUUUGUGUAAGCUAAUCCCUGUUUUGGUUGCAGCAUCGCAGAUCUGUGCUCCCUGUCUUCCCCCUUUCGAUCUGUGUGUGUGCUCUCUGCCUGGUUGCUGCAAGGUGUCUGGUACCCCUUCCUCUGCAACUGUGAUUCUUUGUGCUAGCUACUUAUCUGAGCUAUGUGCAUGUGGCCGUGAUGUUUAGUUCUAUAUGCUUGUUUACUUUUGCUACAUAUCUGAGUUAUGUGCUUGUGGAUGUGAUGUUUAAUGCUAUAUGCUUGUUUCCUAUUGCUUCUUAUCUGAGCUAUGUCCCUGUGGCUGUGAUGUUUAGAGGUAUAUGCUUCUUUGCUACUACUUAACUGAGUUAUCUAUUGUGGCUAUCUUGUUUACUGUUACUUAUCUGAGCUCUAUUCCCUUUGAGUCUUGCCUAUGAUGACUUUGGGUUUGAUUAUUUACAGUCCUAUUUAACUGAGCUAUGUGCUAUGUGUCUGUGAUGUUUAGUGCAUAAACUGAGCCGUGUGCCCUUGCCUAUGAUGCCUAUGAUGAUGAGUGCUUUAGCUGAGCAGUGUGCUGUUGUCUAUGAUGUAGAGUUACUAUACUGUGCUAAGUGUUGUUACAUGUUAUUUGCUUAUAGAUGGAUAAUGGAGAAAUGAGGCGCAAGCUUAUCAUUCAGGCUGCUGCUUUAGUAGCUGCCAUUCAUGCAUUCAUGUUUAGUCGGUUCUUGUGUGGCCAACAGUCUCGCCCUAGUAUUAGUUAUGCACCUCUUAGUGCCAUGGACGAGGAGAGGAGGAGGAACUUGAACUUGAUUUAUAACUGCAAUGAUGUGGAGUGUGUAAACAUGCUUCGCAUGAGAAGAGCACCAUUUUUUCAGCUUUGUAACCUGCUUAGAGAGAGACACCUACUUAGGGAUAGCCUACAUAGUUGUGUAGAAGAACAAGUUGCAAUGUUUCUCCAUGUUGUGGGACAUAACCAGCGAUUUAGAGUCAUCCACCAAAAUUGGAGAAGGUCUGUAGAGACUGUUAGCAGAUAUUUUAAAGAGGUUUUGUAUGCAAUUGGGGAACUAAGAGAAGAGAUGAUUAAGCCUCCCACCAAUGCUACUCCACUUAAGAUCAGGAACAGCCAUAGGUGGUAUCCAUAUUUUAAGGUAUAUAACAUAUUUAUUUACAUAUAACAAAUCAAUGGUUGUUAUCUCAACUAAUCCAAACAACAACUGAGUUUGUAGGACUGUAUUGGGGCAAUAGAUGGCACCCAUAUCCUGGCUAAGGUGCCACAAAGAAUUCAAGCUGCAUUUAGGGGAAGAAAACAUCAAACAACUCAAAAUGUACUUGCUGCAGUUGAUUUCGAUUUAAAGUUCACCUAUGUCCUAGCUGGCUGGGAGGGGUCUGCACAUGAUGCCACCAUCCUUGCUGAUGCUCUAGAGAGGCAGGAUGGGUUAGUUGUCCCACAAGGUAUAAUAUGAAGUCAUAUUAAUUAAAAUGACACAACUAAUACAAUAGUACUAAUACUUAUAUUAUUUUUAGGUAAAUUCUAUCUAGUUGAUGCUGGUUAUGCAUGCCGCCCUGGAUUUCUUCCUCCCUUCAGAGGCACUAGGUACCAUCUCAAUGAAUAUGGUGGUAGAAACUAUCCAACCAAUGCAAGCGAAUUGUUCAACCUCAAGCAUUCAAGCUUAAGAGUCACAGUUGAGAGGGCUUUUGGGGCAAUAAAAAAUAGGUUUAGGAUCCUGGACAACAAACCCUUUCACCCCUUCAAGACACAAGUGAAAUUGGUGCUAGCAUGCUGCAUUUUACAUAAUUGGAUCCUGAACUAUGGUGUAGAUGAAGUGGUUCCCCUUGAGGAGGCUUGGGCUCCUAAUAGCAUUGGUUCCAAUGUUGGUGGUGUUCAAGUAGAAGAUAAUAGUGACUGGGCAUCUAUUAGGGAUGAAAUAGCUAAUCUCAUGUGGGCUAACAGGGGGCACUGUCAUAUAUGAAGACAUGGAUUUGUGUUGUAUGUGUACUGUAAUAACACUGCUAUGGUGUUUAUUAUUUGUAUCUUUUCUGAGGCAAUGGCACAUUGCUAUAAUGUUGUUUGUACUUUGUUCUGAGGCAAUGGCACACUGCCAUGAUGUUUCAUUUUUACUUGUUUUGAGGCAAUGGCACACUGCUAUGGUGUUUCUUUUUUACUUGUUCUGAGGCAAUUAGCACACUGCUAUGAUGUUGUUUCUUUUUACUUGUUCUGAGGUAAUUGGCAGACUGUUGUGAUGUCUUUUUUCUGUACAUCUUCUAAGCCACAUGCAGACUACUAUGAUGCUGGUUUUUUUACAUGAUUCUAGCCACAGGGACACUGCUGUGAUGUUUAUACAUGAUUUUGUAUAUGAUCUGAGCCACAUGCACACUGCUAUGAUGUUGUUUUUUACAAUAACUGAGGCAAUAUAUAUAUGCUAUGAUGUUGUUUUGUUUAUAAUAACUGAGGCAAUAGAAAUAUGCUAUGAUGUUGUUUUGUUUAUAAUAACUGAGGCAAUAGAUAUAUGCUAUGAUGUUGUUUUGUUUAUAAUAACUGAGGCAAUAGAUAUAUGCUAUGAUGUUUGUCUUAUAUACUGUUGUCAAAUAUUGGUACUAGGGCAUGGAUGUUCAAGAGGAAAGAGAGUUUAUGGAGCUGUAUGGUAGCUAUUCCAAUGCCCUAGUUGUUGCUAAUUCUGCUCCUAAUCCUUCUGGUGGUCCUGCCCCUCCUCCUGCUGUUGUUGCCCCUGCUGUUGCUGCUGUUGCCCCUCCUCCUCGUGCUGCCCCUCGAGCCAGGCAGCAAAGGAAUUCUAUGAGGUGGACUAGUGUCACAUCCUCCUUUAUCUUGCGCCGGUUCUGUGAACUCAUUUCCACUGGGGUUAGAACAGAUAAGGGGUUCAAGGAGGUUCACUUGAACAAAGUUGCUAGGGACCUUCAGGAGUUCACAGGGAACAAUGUAACCUCUACUCAAGUGUAUAACCACUUGCGCACAUGGAGGAAAAAAUGGAUGAAAGUGACCAAGCUGAGAGAGCUUAGUGGAGCUUUAUGGGAUGAGGAGACCUUCAUGAUUUCCUUGGAGGAUGAGCACUAUAAUGGUCAUGUAAAGGUGUUAGCCAUAGUGCAUAUCAUUUUCACCUUCUUCUCUUAAAUAUUAGCUAAUUUCUAAAAUUGCAUUGCAUUUUAGGCUCACCCUGAAGAUGCUGACCUUCUGAACAAGCCAAUAGAGAACUACCAGCAAAUGGAGAUCAUAUUUGACAAUGGCUGUGCCACAGGCAAGUUUGCCAUGGGUUCUAGCCAGCCUUUGGGUUCUCCAUCUGACUGGGCUGAGAGUUCUCAAAAAAUUGAUGAGCCUGCCAAAGAGUUUGAGGAGGUAGCUAAGCAGGAUGCUGGGGGCAGUAGCAGCAAGCACCAGGAGGCUAGUAGCAAGCAGCAAGAGCCUAAUGGCAGUGGAGUGGGCAGCAAGAGGAAGAGGGCAAUGCUCUCUGAUGAGGAUAUCACUGUCCUGUCUGGGAUGACAACUGCUGUGAACAAUGUGGCUGAUGCUAUCAGAGAAACAAAGACUGAAGUUGUCCCUGCUGACCUCUACUCUGCUGUGAUGUUUGUCCCUGGCUUCACUGAUGAAGCUCUGAUUGUGGCCUACUCCCAUCUGGCAGACAACAAUGCUCUUGGGGCUGCAUACCUGCUAAUGUCUGAUGCUCAUCGUGUGCUGUGGCUGAGGACCUUCUUAGCUAAGCACUACUACAACAACAACAACUAGUAUCUGAUAGUUUUCUUAUUGCUGGUUGAUCCUUUGUCCAGUAGGACCUCCUUUUGCUAACCUAUUUUGUGCAGAGGUACUAACCCUGCAUUCUUUUGUGCAGCUGGUCACAUCUUUCCAUUUCUUCUAUGUGGUUGAUGUGAUCCUGCUAUAACUAGAUAGAGACUCAUAUAUAUAGUAACAAGUCUCUAUCCUCUUACUAUGAUGUAGUGAAUGUAUUGGAUCAACCACUUUGAUGUUGGAGUCUAAUCUGAGCAUAUAUCUAUUGCCAAUGAUGUAUUGUUAUUCGAGUUAUGCUAUUGUAUUGAACUAUACCUAAACUGAGCAUCUAUCUAUUGCCAAUGAUGUUAUUAUUUUGUUGAUGCUACACAUUCUGAGGUGUAUAGCUAUUGCCAAUGAUGUUCUAUGAUGUACUUCAUACUUCUUUUCUUCUAUUUUCCUAUCUGUCACCUGCUAAUUGAUUCAUUCUUUGUCAUGUGAGGUUGCUGGAUCCUCACUCUCAACUGAGGCUGAUGGCAUCUGCUAUGAUGAUGAGUUUGCUAUUUUUGUUGCCCUACUAUGUAAAGGCAUGCUCUACUCUUGUGCUUACUUAUCUGUUGAUUGAAUCCUCACUGUAAAUUGAGGCUGAUGGCAUAAUGCUAUGAUGAUGGAUGCUUUUCUGUUGUGUUCUCUUGUCUUCACCCGUGGUCUGUUGUGUUUUGCUGGACAAUGCUUCUAUAUGUGGUCUGAUUGGUUACCUGGUUACUCAAUUUCACAGUUCCUAUUCCUAUUGAUUUUAACUCAAUAUGUUUAAGUCUGAGCACAUGCCAUCAGCCAAUGAUGCUUCUUUUAUACAUAUUGCUCCCCAGUGUGUGUAAUGGACAUUUUUUUUACUAAAUUUCUCAGAUUCAGCUUGUCAUUAAUUAACUGAUUUGGGCACCUAGUUAUUUCUUCUCAGUUAUUGUUGAUUUUAACUGAAUAUAACUAAGACCCAGCAUAUGCCAUCAGCCAAUGAUGCCUCUGUGAUACAAAUUGCUUCCAGUGUGUGUGCGCUAUGGUGGUAACCUCACCACUGCCUGAUUGUGAUCAUGGUGUUCAACCUUGUGUGCUUCGGGUGCUGGUAACCUCACCAUCACCUGGUUCUGGUGAUGGGAUUUACGUGCGAUGCAGGCAACCAAUCACCGUUCUUGCAUCUAGUUUUUUGAAUCUGGGAUGCAACCAGGUAACCAAUCAUCGUCUCUGCUCAUCCAGUUCGGUGGGAACCAGGCAACCAAUCAACCCAGGUUGCAUGCCUUAAACCUGGUUGAAAGGAACCUGGUUCCUUGGUGCCACCCAGGCUAGUGGCAACCAGGUAACCAAUCACGCCCAAAUUAUAUUAAGGGGUAAUUUGAACCAAAGGGUAUAGUUUGGGUGGUAAAAUGAACCAAACGAUAGUUUAGGGGAUUAACCAAACUUUGGCUAUAGUUGAAGGGAGUGAUUUGGACUUUUUCCUAUUAUAAUUAAGGGAAAAGUCCGGUUUACAACUCAAAUUAUCGCAAAAAUCCGAUUUUCAACCUUCAACUACAAAACCGGAUAACAUAAGCCAUCCAACUAUCAAAAAUAUGCAAAAUUGUCCCUUUGGGUGGUUUCAAAGAUGGUUUUCCAUUUUGUGAAAAUUAAAAAUAUAUAAUUUUAAACUAAAAAAUCAUAAGUAAUUCAUUUUAAACAUAAAAAAUGAAAUGGAUAUCAAAAACUUUCUAAAAAUGUAACUUAUCUAUUAACACUCUACUUGUCGGUUAUUCGGAUCCAAUUUUUUUAUGUUCAUAGUACUUGGUUGCUUGUAGUUAUGCCUAUUAUUUUUGAAUAAAUAAGUUUCAAAUAGAGAAAUAAUAGAUAUUUUACAUUUUUAGAAAAAUUUUGAUACUAGUUUCAUAUUUUUCUAAUUUAAAAUGGAUUAGUUUUGAUUUUUUUAGAUCUAAUUAGAAUUUUUUAAAUUUUUCUAAAAUAUAAAACCACCUUUGAAACCACCUAAAGAGCCAAAUUUGCACGGUUUCGAUAGUUGGAUGGCAUAUGUCACUUGAUUUUGUAGUUGAAGGUUGAAAAUCAGACUUUUGUGAUAGUUCGAGGGUGUAAACCGAACUUUUCCCUAUAAUUAAACAACUUAGUUGAAAACUCGAAAUGCACUAUAUACCUUGUUGGGGAUAUGCCUUUGGAAGCCAAAGGCUAGGAAUCCCCAUAUGUUUAAAAGAGGCUAAAUCAGAGGGUUAUGGACUUAUUUCCAAACUUCUAGGGUCUAUUUAUAAAGAUUGAUGACCUUUUUAUAAUAUCUAACCCCACUAAUGGACUAAACAUAAACAGACACUCCUCCUAAAGCCUGGGGCUUGGGGAAGAGGACUCUUGACCAUUUGUUCAUUUGCUCCCUUGUUCUCUCUUCCUUAUCUCUCUCCUAUUCGAUCGAGGUCCCAACCCCAACAUACCUAGCAUUGAUGUAUGAGUAUAACCAAAAGAAAAGCAUGUCACUUUCGCCUAACCUUGAAUUUCAUCUCGGCUGUAUCCUAACUUAUAGUAUUUAUUUUAUUUGUUUGUGUUGUACUGCCACCACAUUGCUUUGUUUCAUAUAGAUUUUGUUCUCCAUGCAUCCAUUCUCAUUUUUGCUAUGCUACUCCGCCUAAAUAACAUGGAAGGCACCAUUCAGUGUCGCCUCCCUAAUGCUGUGAUCUUGAGCUCCCCAUUUCAAGCGAUGUGCAGCAACAAUAUCUUGUUGUACGGUUUCACUUCCAUUUCCAGCUCUAUAGAUACUCACCGGCAAUCCUUGCCAAUGCCAGAGUUUUGGUUCCACCCUCAACAAUCUAUGAGCUAGAUGUUGCUCUAUCGUCCAGCUGAGUUCGCGAUCUCGAGCUAAGAGGCGGAGGCCUAAGCCUAGUGUAUGCGUGUAGCAAUGCAUAUCCUCCCAUACCAAUUCUUGUCUUCAUCGAUGCUAGUGGUCAUGUUGAAGACAAUAAGGGCAAAAGAGAGACGGAAAAUUAUAAGAACCCGCUAUUUAUGUGCCAUAUAUUUAAGAGGGUUGGUUCAAGAUAUAAAUUGUUAGUGCCAAAGCAUUUAUAGUGUGGUAGCUAAUUUUUUUUUCUCCAUGACAUUAAACAGCAUGAUUUUGUCCACGGGACAUCAUUUUGUUUGAAGUUGAUCCUAAGACACUGCAAAAUCGUGGUUUUGUUGGUCGAACACCAGAGGAGGGGCAAGACCAUUAUGCUCAGUUACACACAUCUUUAAAAUAUCUACAUACAUAAUAUAAUUAAAAUACUAUUAUAUUUGUAAACUGGUAUAUGGUAUUGUUUGGAAGAAGAAACCUCUAUCUUCUACCGACUAAAAACUCAAAACCCUUGAACUCUGACACAGCAGACCCUAUAGCAUCGCACUAUACCACCUGAUUUGGCGCAUCAUCACUACCCCAAGUAGGACUGCACCCCUCACACAAGCCAGCCGCCACCGUUACCUAGGCUAGGUAUUUUAACCAUCCCUGAAAUUCAUUUCCACCAAGAGUCGAACCCUAACACUAGAGGUGCUACUCAAGAAUCACCGAGUCACAGCCUCUAAGCUAUGAACCCGUUUGCAUAUAAUAUAAUCUAUAUCAUGAAAUUAGGCAAAAUGAUGGAAUGCUCUACUCCCCACUGCCCUUACGUGUAGUUUUUUCAUGCUUUGUAUGGAGAUUUUGUAAAAUGAAGAUAAGGACAUGAUGGUUUUUCCUUCCUCCUAUAGCCUACUAAUGAAAAGCAUGAUUUCGCUAUGUCCUCAGGCUAAUUUCCAACAAUCAGGCUAAUUUCCAACAAUCAGUGUCCUAUAGGCAAAGCAAUAUUCUUUUUGUGUACUGGACAUAAAUAUGCCCAAAUCAAACUAUGAUUUCAAAUAUGGACUUACUCCUGGGAUUGGAUUGACAUCCACGAUCCAAUCAGCGAUGUCCAACUAAAAUCCUACUGAUAUAACGUUCGCACCCAGCCCAAUCCUAAAUAUAUUAACUACUAUCCAAUCCAGUCCAAUCCACCACCACCAAAAUCCAUAUCCAUCCAACCGGUGUCCAUCCUAAAUAUAUAUACUAAUAGAAGUAUGUUGAGCGGCCUAGCUUGCUUCCGCUAUCAGCUUUUCAAACAAGCAAGGUCCACAGGCAGCCAAAGUGAAAGGUGUUCCAAGUUAUUAAAAAGUACUUCUAACCUACACAAGUGACUGGUAUUCUAGACCAUUAUAAAGGAAAAUAGUUUAGCAACAUCUCAGUACAAAAUACCCUCUCAUGGUAGACAUGUCCAGAAUAGUGCAUAGCAUAAGAAAUGCCAUGAGGCCAAAGAAUCUCUCAAGAAUACAAGCCAAACAUAAAUCAGUUAUAGAUUGAGCUAAACCUAACUAAAGAAGAAUAGCCUCUAAUCAUAAAUUAAACUUGUAGGUGGCAUAGACCAUUUCUGUCCACUUGCUAGGCUAAAAACCCAAGAAUGUUCUGCCAGGCUGAAUCCAAAACUUGCAAAAUCUUGAAAAGGAGCGGUAACUCAUCACUUAAUCCAUCACUAUCCCUGCACCAAAUUACAUGGAUGAGACUUAUAGAUUGAUAAUAAACAAAUACUUAUUAUUUAGAGAAUACUCAUCACAUGGAUAACAACCUAUCUAAAGAAGUAAACAUUAAGAAACGCAAGCAUUUUUUAUCAAACUCCAUUACUCAAGCUCCAGAAAUAUUUAGCUAGAUGGACUAGUAUUAAAUAGUACAAACACCAAAACACCAAAAUAGAUAACUAGUAUUCUUCAGAGUACUAAUCAAGAACAAGAGUAACAGUACAUGCAACUAAAAUGGUCCAGAUAUGACACAAAAAUUAGAUGACUAGUAUUCUUCAGAGUACUAACAAGCACUAUGUUUUCAAGACCUAUCAUUAACCAAGAGAAUAGCAACUGAAAUUCAAAUUUGCACAAGAAAAUAUGUUACCAUCGUCAUCUUCAUCAUCUAAAGAGUACCCUUUAAGCAAAUCUUUUGCAUAUAUUAGUGCUUCCACCGUCUCUGAACUUAGAGAACUACGGUAUUUGUUAAUUACCAUGCCUGCAGUACUGAAUAUUGAUUCAGAGGCAACAGUUAAUAAUGGAAUAGCCAAAAAGUCAGGAGCCAUCUUUGCAAAUACAGGAUAUUGAUCCUGGUUUCUUUUCCACCAUUUUAGCACGUCAAAUUCUUCACUCUCCCUUAAAGGAACCAAUGAAUCAUCUAGAUAAGUAUCAGGUUCCGACCUUCUUGAGCGAUGAGGUCUGUUUCUCUGCUUGAACAAAGCAAAUUCCAGCCCUAGCUUAUGUUUUCCAGACACCAAAGACAACGUACUUGCAGAACCACUGACUUCAGGAGAUGAUGAAAUGUUACUUUGGAACUCCUUUGCUGCAUGUUUUCGUAAUGAGAAUAAUAUGCUUUAAACCAGAUAAGAGCAUAGUUUGCUUUUCUAUCAGCUACUUCCUCUCCAUACAUUCUCAUGAGACGGUACUUCAAAAAGGUUAAUUUGUACCGUGGGUCCAGCAAAGAUGCUACCAAAAGGAUUUUGCUAGGUUCAACCCAGUAUUUAUCAAACUUUGACUUCAUAUCAUUACACAACACCUUCAAAAAAUUAUCACUUCUAUUUUUUUAUCAAGAAGCAGUUCCCUUAUCCCCCAAACCUCUUCAACAUACCUGUGAGCACUUGGAGUUUUAUCUAGAGUUUUUUGUCAUUAGAUGUGGCAUAUGUCAAAAGGCAUAUGUGUCCAAAGAGUUUCUCUUAGCUUUUUCACAGCUCUAUCAUUAGAUGUGGCAUUAUCUAGAGUAAAAGAAAAUGCUUUAUUGGACAGAUCCCACUCAUAAAGGCAGUCCAUUAUAGUACUAUGUAUUGCAGCCGCAUUAUGUAGGUGAGGAACUUGCUUAAAGUUGAUUGUAUGGUGGUGCAGAUUAAAAUCUCCAUCUAUAUAAUGUACAGUCAAAUAAAUAUAUCCAAGAUUUUGGACAGACGUCCACAUAUCCGAAGUGAAGCUAACACAAGAAUCUAUAUUGGAAAAACCACUAGCAAUCUUUUUUCUCUCUUCUCAAUACACUAACAUGCAAUCAUUCUUGAGUGUCUGCCUGUGUUGUCGGUCGAAACCCACCAGCGAGCAGCGACAGGCAACACGAGAAGUCGGGAGGCUUCCGGGACUGCUGGUGGGUCCCGGUCCCUCGGUCAACGGCCCAGAAGUCCGGCACACGCUCUGACUUGGUGAAGUGUUAGGCGUGCCACCUGACCUAUACCUGAUCACGAAGGUGUAGAAGUCGUUCAUCAGCUAUUUGCUGCAUGCGCAGCCAUAUCAAACAUUAGUCCGAGCUGUGAUCGGCUCUUACAACGACCCCGAGAUCAGCUAAAGAAGCCGAUGGAGUCACUGUACUAGGUCGGACCUUCGGGUACCUUCCAGAAUCGGCUACAAGAAAUCGAUUGCCACGUUGAACAGAUUGGAUCUAUUAACAUGUGAACUUUUGUACGAAUCCGAUAGAAAAGAUAAAAGCAUGCUCUGUAAUUGCCAAGCUAAUCCAAUUUGCGACGGUAAAAGCUUUCACCGCAUAACCGGAACAUCCUAUGCGUGGUUAAGCCUAACAAACAUGAAAGGUAACAAUACGCUAACCCGAAGAGAGGCCUAAAAACCAACUAACAAGUCGAUUCCCGGAACAAUCCCUCGUCAGGUUACCAUAAGGCACCAAACAUGCAACCGGAACAUUUAACCUGUUUGAAGGUCCUAAUCAUAUGGAUAUUAAACCAAUUCCUUGUAACACAAAGAACUACCAUAACAGAUUAGAUCUACUAAGCAAUAACAGAGCAAGGCGCUGCCCUUGCACCUGAGAUCACGUACAAGAGCAGCUGAACGAUUACGAACAGCAAGCAAAACAUGGAUUUACUAUUCAAAACCAAUGCAACAUCAUAAUCGUUUAAGAUAACUAGUGUUACUCGCCAUAAAAAACGCUUCAAUACGAGAAACACAAGAAUAAACAGAUAAAAGCAACGCUGCUCCGACCAUGCGGAACAUGAUCGGAGCAGCAUGUUGAUUACCUGGAAAGAGCCCUUGGGAAAGGGGUGGCGAUGCGCCGAGAGUUUGUUGUGAAUGAUUGAUUUAUUUAUUGAAUCUCACGAUACAUAUUUAUAGUCCGGAGACUUAAUAUUUUCUGCCUAACCCUAGCUGAUUAUGAUACAAUCUCUAACUUACUAUAUUUAAACUAUCCUUAGAUACACGGCCAUCCUGACUCUUGACACGUUCGCACAGAAGCCGAUUUGCAGACUAUUACCAUGCUUUCCUUCAGCCCAUGAUGCUCUCGGCCCAUCACUUGGCCCAGUCAAAUUAUGACGAUAACACAUGCCCCUUGGUUUUGGCAAUGAUAAUUCCGAAACCAUCGCCUCUUCGACUUCUCAGACUUGUGCACGCACAUACCGCUCCCAAUGCCAUUGGACGCGGCCCUUCGACUUCCAAGGCCUGUACACGCGCGCUGCCUUCCAAUACAAUCAGACGCGACCCUUCAACUUCUCUCUCAGGAAUCGCGAUAACACCGCUUCGCCUUCCAUCUCCGCCUUUAUAAACUGUCAUUGGCGGAUUUAUUUCUAUCCAUCUCCCCGUGCAUUAGCCACACCAGCACACUCUGCAUCCCCUGACAAUGGCUUCCUCUUCCUCUAUCUCUUCCAAUUCCCCUUCGUCUUCCAUAAUCUCCAUCACUUCUCCUGACUCUGAAACCUCCAGGGAGGCGACGCCGGAGUUCGAUCCAAUGGCUUCGUAUGAAGCUCUCGCUCCUCUGCAUUGGGAUGCAGAGGAGUGGGAUUUCAGCACUUGGUCAGAGGACGAUGAGCCCCUGACCGACGAUGAGGACCUCCAGAUUCUCCUUCAUGGGGAUCUGGACGAAGGCGGCGACGAAGAUUCCUAGGAUGAUGAUUUCUUCUCUUUCUCAGAAAAAGAUGCCAAGGACACUUCCACCGACGACGACUCAGCAGCAAGAGGAUUUCUGCAUGGUGGAUUGUCGACUUCAGAAGACGACGGGGACGCCAGCGACGACACUAGCGAUGAUGGUGACAGCAGCAACAGCACCGGCGGCGACGAUGGCAGCAGCGACGAUGACACCAGCGCGUCCCCCCCGUACAAACGCCGCAAGACCUUAGGGACUCACUGGUGGUAGUUCAUAGGGUCUUCCACCGUUAUGCGCAUAGCCGGUAGAUCGGCUUCUUUUGUAAUAAUUUCUUGUAAAUGAACCCUCUUGUUUCAGCGAGCCAGUGUUUAAAAAUCUAACCUUCUAAAGUCCGAUGGCAUCGCAUCGGCCUCUUUCCUUGAACUGCCCGAUCCAAUCUCAAACUUUUCUUUAUUCCGGAUCAAAAUUCCCAAGAACUCGAGUAGCCUUCAAAUGAUCUUGUCAAUAACAAGAGUACUCCGCAGUCGACUUCUUUGCUUGUUGUUAAAUCUCGAUCCCCAAUCAGGUCGAAAAAUAUGAGUACCCAGGAAACCCCGCAAACAAGUCGAACCUGUUCUUUUAAGAUCAAGAGACACCUGCAAUCAACCUCUCUGCUUUUAUCGAAACCCAGGAUUUGCAAGGGCCAAUUAUUGCUCCUAGAGUCGAUGGUUUAACAUCGACUGUUCAACCUUCAGCUCUGUGCAUGGACCGGCGCUGCUUUUUCUUUACAGAUCUGGCAUGCUCAUCUCAUUCCACCUUACAGCCUGAUGCAUUGCACCGGCUUCCAAAGUACCCGAUAGAUGCUGACCUGCAGGUCUAGUAUACCACGAGGUACCCGAUCAGAUCAACUCGAUGUACCGCAAAGUACUCGAUUAUAUCUUGCAGCCCAAGGUGUCAUAUCGGCUUUCCUCGCAAACACCCUGGUUGUAUUGGUCCAUAACCUGAUGCCUUACAUCGGCUUCAUUACUCAUCUUCCCACAUGCUCGGGAAAUAUUUCUUGAGAUGCUGACCAUUGACAGCCACCGAAAAUUUAACCCCAUCCAAUUCUUCGAGCAUGUAUGCAUUCCCUGGCAGAGCUUGAUCAACUCUAUAAGGCUCGUGCCAAUUCGGAGACCAUUUACCAUAUGUCGCAUCCUUAGUCCCUAAUGGUAACACCGCUUCCCACACUAAAUCCCCAACUUGGAAUUCCUUCGGUUUAACCUUCUUGUUGUACACGCGGGCUACCUUGGCCUUAUUUUCCUUGAUCUUUUCCAGCAACCAAAGCCUGAGUUCUGUAAUGUCUUCCACAUUGUCGCUCAUUAGUGCUGCAUAUUCUUCAGCAGUCAACACAAUCUGAAACUCUAUCCGACUUGAACCGGCCGUAAUUUCCCAUGGCAAUACGGCCUCCUGCCCAUAUACUAAAUGAUAUGGUGAAGUUCUUGUUGCCCCAUGGCAUGAAACACGAUAAGCCCAUAACGCUUCUGAUAAUACUUCACGCCAACGCCGUGGAUAUUCAUCAAUCUUCCUUUUGAUCAACUUGAUCAGGCUCUGAUUAGACGCUUCGGCUUGUCCGUUUGCUUGAGCGUAGUAUGGAGAUGACCUGAUUAAUUUGAUUCCCAUGUCGGCAGCAAACUUUUUGAAUUCAUCAAAUAUAAACACCGACCCUCCAUCUGUUGUAAUAGUCUGAGGAAUCUCAAACCUAUGAAUAACGUGUUCUUUGAUGAAAUUGAUGACGUCCCUCGACGUUACUGACUUCAUAGGAACAGCCUCUACCCAUUUUGUAAAAUAAUCUGUGAUGGCCAAAAUAAACUGAUGGCCUUUACUCGAUGGAGGAUUAAUCUUACCAAUCAUGUCCAUGCCCCAGCCCCUGAAUGGCCAAGGUUUGAUGAUAGGGUUCAUUGCUGACGCUGGUACUAUUUGUAUCUUUCCAAACCUCUGACAGGCCUGGCAUCCUUUAUAAUACUUGAAGCAAUCUUCCAUCAUAUCAGGCCAAUAAUAUCACGAGCGCUUGAUCAACCACUUCAUCUUGUGGGCUGAUUGAUGAGUACCACACGUAUCUUCAUGGACUUCAUGUAAAAGCCUAUUGGACUUAAUCGGCCCCAAGUAGUAGCCUCUCCAGAGUCCUGUAGAACAAGUCGUCCCAUAUCAGGACUUGCUUCAUGGCUCUGUAACGUAUCUUCUUAGGUGCCCCCCGAGCCAGAUCCUUCAAGUAAUUGAAGAUAUCGGCUCUCCAAUCCCCCUGAUCCAGCAGGUUUAUUGCUCCAUCCGCCGCGUCCUUGUAACCGGAAGCCAUCUGGUAAGAUUAUUGGCCUCAGAAUUUUGUACUCUUGGUAUCCAGUAGAAAUUUAUAUAUCUGAACUAGGCCAUUAGCUCCUGGCAUUGUCUCCAUAAGGGGAACAACAACUCGCUCUCACAUCGGUAUGUCUCCGUGAGCUGAGAGAUGACCAGUUUUGAAUCCCCGAAAACUUCUACUGCUUCUGCUCCAGCUUCGAGGAGUAACUCCAUACCUUUGUGCACCGCUUCAUACUCGGCUAGAUUAUUGGUGCCAGGUGUUGGCAAUCUGAUUGAAAAGGAACAUGUUGCCCCCCGAGGCGAGACGAGUAAGAUACCUAUGCCAGAACCAUCUCCACAGACCGACCCAUCAAAAUAUAUUGCCCAUGCGCGGAUGGAAAGCGCCGCUAUGCCUGAGCUGGUCCACUCUGCAACGAGGUCGGCCAGCGCCUGCCCUUUGACUGCUUUCGCAGGCUGGUACCGGAUAUCAAAUUCUGACAGAGCGAGCAUCCAUUUACCGAGUCGGCCUUUCAACACCGGGGUCGACAACAAAUGCUUGAUAACAUCUGAUUUGCAGAUGACAAUUGUCUCGGCAGAAAGCAGGAUGUGGCGGAGCUUCGUACAGGUAAAGAAUAGACAAAGGUAUAGUUUCUCAAUUUCAGGGUACCUUAUCUCUGCAUCUAGCAUCCUCCUGCUGAGAUAAAAAAAACUCUCUUCUUGCCAUCCUGCACUUGUAUGAUGACCGAAGCAAUGGAAGUAUCACCCACUGAUAGAUAAAUAUAGAAUGGCUUACCCUGCUGGGGUGGGACUAACACAGGCGGUUUGGAUAAAUAUUCUUUGAUUUCUUCAAACGCCUGUUGUUGCUCUGCCCCCUAGCGGAACUCGUCAUUGGCUUUAAGUUUCACCAACUCCAUGAAUGGCUCGAUUCUUCCUGACAGAUUGGAAAUGAAUCUCCUAACAAAAUUUAUCUUACCAGUGAGUUGUUGGAGCUCCUUCUUUGUAGUAGGUGGCACCAUCAUUUUUACAGCUUCUUGACUUUUUAGGCCGAUCUCAAUUCCUCGUUCAUGAACCAGAAAACCCAGAAACUGACCGGCUGAUACACCAAAAGCACACUUCUUUGGAUUCAUUCUAAGCCCGAACUUCCUAGUUCGUUCCAAAACUCGUUGUAGAUCUCUUAAAUGUCCCUCAGCCGAUGCAGAUUUCACCACCACGUCAUCAAUAUAGAUCUCCACCAGCUUGCUGAUCAAAUCAUGAAACAUAUAGUUCAUGGCCCGUUGAUACGUAGCACCAGCAUUUUUGAGCCCAAAAGUCAUGACCACAUACACAAAUAAUCCCACUGCACCUGAUACUCUGAAUGCAGUCUUAUGAAUAUCUUCUGGAGCUAUAAAAAUCUGGUUAUAACCAGCAUUGCCAUCCAUAAAACUCAACAUCUUAUGACCAGCAGCCGCAUUAAUCAAUGUUUCCGCAACUGGCAUCGGAUACUCAUCUUUUGGUGUGGCUCUGUUAAGAUCUCUGAAGUCUACACAGACUCUCCAUCGGCCGUCCUUCUUCUGUACAGGCACAAUACUGAAAAUCCAUUCAGCAUACCUGCAUGGCCUGAUGAAGCUUGCUGCCAUCAUCUUUUCGAGUUCUUUCUUGACUUCUUCUAGGACUUCGGCCUUCAUUUGCCGUGCUCGUUGCUGGAACGGCCAAAAUCCUGGCUUAAGAGGGAGUCGAUGCUCAACAAUACUUCUAUCCAACCCAGGCAUCUCUGUGUAAUCCCAGGCAAAACAGUCCAUAAAUUCUCUCAGCAGUAUUAUCAUCGCCUCUCGCAACUCUGGAUUUAACUUUUUGUUGAUAAAUGUUGGCCGUGGCUUAUCCCCAGGACCAAUAUCGACUUCUUCCAGCUCGUCAGUAGAUGUAAACCCGUAUCCUAGCUUCCCUUCAUCCAUCAAGUCGAUACUGCAAAUAAACAAAGAAUAUGAAGCAGAAGGAUUUGGCCGAUCGCAGGGAUCGGCCGACUUGUUCUUUGCAUUAAUGUGUAUUAUUUUACAAUCACAUGGCCGGCUGCUCGAGCAGGCCUCUUUGCGAUCAUUAUAACAAUGUAACAUGGAUGACAAAAACAACUUGAUUCUAUUUUUUGGAGGCCGAUCGCGGGGAUCGGCCUUUCCUGUUACUUUCCCAUCUACUCCAUAAGGCCAGUGGAUAAGACCAGCCUCACCCUGUUUUUUGUAGCUUCCACGCGGUCGCAGCCCUCCAAGCUAAUCCCUGAGAUCGGUUCCUGGUCCUCCGCGUCCCAGACACUCAUGGCAGCAUGUGAAACUUCAACAGAGUCGUCCGCGUGGACCACUUCUACUUCAUCUCCGUCCCAUUGAAUCAGACACUGGUGCAUUGUAGAAGGGAUACAGCAAUUGGCAUGGAUCCAAUCUCUCCCAAGCAGAACGGUGUAUGAGCCCUUGCUGUUGACCACAAAAAACGACGUAGGGACGGUUUUACCUCCUACCGUCAGAUCCACGCUGAGGACUCCUUGCGCCUCUGAAGUUUGUCCGUUGAAGUCACUUAGCGUGAUGUUGGUUUUGAUCAAGUCCCCAACAGAAUGCCCCAACUUGCACGGCACUGAAUACAGCAUUAUAUUAACCGCUGCUCCUGUAUCGACUAGCAUCCUGCUGACAGGCUGGCCGUUUAUGUACCCCUUGAGAUAUAAUGCCUUCAGGUGCCUGUAAUUCUUUUCUCGGGGCUUCUCGAAAAUGACUGGUCGUGGCCCCAAGUCAAGCUGAGCCACUGGCACCUCCUCAUGUCCUGGUGCAUGAAACUCUGCAGAGAGAACAAACACCAUGUGUGCAUCAGCCGAUGUCUUCACAUUGGCUUUCGACUUCUUGGGUCGCCAUACCUUCUUGGAAGAACUCUCUGCUUUUCGAGGGUUGUGGACCUUUUCCGCCAAAUCUGGCCGCACUUUCCUUAAUGUUUCCAAGUAUUGGACCUCGGCUUCUUCCAGGUUGCACAGCCGCUGUACCCUCCGCUUCUAGGACCGGUUGAGCCCAUCAGGACACCAGCGUGGUCGGUGAUACUUGUCCUCCUCAUCUUCUGAAUUUCCCACUGUAUGUGUCAACUUGUCUUGUUCAUGGCGGGGUUGCCCUGGUCCCAAAUGCUGAAAAACUGAAGCACUUCUUGUUCUGAGAAUUGCACUCUAGGCAAUCUUCAAGGUUGGGUAGUCUCUUCAUACCAGAAUCCCAACAGUAUUUGAAGAACGGGCAAUGCCAAUGAUCUCGUGCAUCCUCUCACUUCCUGAGGCGUUUCCCAGUGCAUCGCUCGUACUCUUCUUCUUCAGUUUCACGUUGGAGAUGCUGUUGAUACUGAUACUGGUAUUUUCUCAGAAGAUGAGAAGAAACCGGUCGUUGAUUCCGGACAUGCCUGACCUGUUGUUCGGUGAUAUAGUCUCUUUCUUCUUUUUGGGGCCGAUCGCGGGAAUCGGCCUCUUGCCUCCUUGUAUGCUGACGUGAUGCAUGUCCUGCCAUGUUAAUACCGAGCGUGAAAUCCAACUGACGACGCGUUGACCGGUCGUACCCUUCCACCAUGUUUACAUUCGGGAAUAGUUGAGUAUCGACCUUCAUGGCGUACUAUCCCAAGAUUAAUCGGCCUUACUCAAUGGCCGAUUGUAUCUGCCGCCGGAGUUCUUUGCAGUCAUUGGUACCGUGAGUGAAAGAGUUAUGCCACUUGCAGUAUGAUCUCCCCUGGAGCUCCUGAGCUGUUGGGAUCUUGAAACCUUCAGGGAACUUCAAUUGCUUUUCCUUCAAGAGUAAGUUGAAUAUUUGUUCGACUUUGCUUACAUCAAAAUCAAAAUCUUUCAGAGGGCCCUGUUGUUUCACCCACUUGCAGGGCACAGGCUUUGCCCCCCGUGCCCAUUCCACAACUGCAAUCUCUUGGUCAUCCUCAGAGUCUUCGGAGUCUUCAGCAUCAACCAUUACUACUUGACGUUUAAACUUGUCUUGGUAUAAUUCUAAGUGACGUUGCUCGUAUACUGUCAUUUUCUACACCAAAUGAGCCAAAGAGUUGAACUCCAACUGCAAAACCAAAUCUCUGAUCGGCUUUACCAAUCCCAAAGUUGCCAAUUCAACUGCCUCCUUCUCUGAAAUUCGAAUUGAGUAGCAUCAAUUCUUGACUUCCCUGAAAAGCUGUAUGUACUCCGCCACUGUUUCUCCCCGUUUCUGGCGGACCUGUGCCAAAUCAGCAAUCCCAGCUUCUGCAGCUUCUGAGUGAUAUUGUAUAUGGAACUGUUCCUCUAGCUGCUUCCAGGUGCGGAUAGAAUCAGGGUCCAAUGAUGUGUACCAUCCAAAAGCCGGCCCUGUGAGAGACUGCGAGAAGAACCUUACUCGCAAUGGAUCCGACAUCGAAAUCAUCCCCAGCUGCGCUAGAUAUCGGCUCACGUGUUCUAUGGAGCUGGAUCCUUCUGCUCCGCUGAAUUUGGUGAACUCAGGUAGCCGAUACUUGGGUGGCAGAGGAAUUAGGUCGUAGUCGCUUGGAUACGGCUUGGUGUAGCCGAUCGCUCGCCUUCUUGGGAGAAUGCCAAAUUGAUCUCUCAAAAUGGCACUAAUUUGAUCCACUGUAUGAACUCCUAGGGCCGAGUGCGUUCCUUCAUGACUUGGCCCUGUUGCAUAGGUAGCCAGCCAUGCCUGUUUAUCGGCAUCUACUGCAAAUGUUCCUCCAGUUGCUCUCUGCAUGGGUUGCGCCGGGUUACCACCAUCUGGUAUAUAUGCGCAAACAUAUCCAUGCGGAACCUCCUUGGGGGGUUCGUUGAAGAACUGGUGAUCAGCAGGGUCACCUCCCACCUUGUAUAUGACAUAUGCUGCAGAAUUAUGUUGCUCUGGGGCUGCAAAUGCAUACGGCACUAGUGGUCUGGAUUGAGAAGGCAACUCCCCUUUGUGACUCCCUAAAGCAGGUCCUAUUGGAGAGUACUGGUGUUUCAUAAUUUCCUGCACCACGCGCACCGCGACGCGCUCGAGGGUGUUCACCAAACUCUCAGAAUGCCGAUGUAAUGAGUGAGCCACCAUGUAGUUGACUUCCUGGCGGAGAGCUCGCGUACGUUCUUCCGUAGGGGUAGAUAGAUCCACUUCGUCGAGUGCCCCUUCAGAUGAAAAUCCCUUCCAUCUAAUGCCGUGGUGACGAGUUCUUUCAAACGAGCCGAUGAGAUCGGCUUCAAAAGCAGCUUUUAUUUCAUUAUACCUCUGCUUGUGAUCAUCGGACAACUCCUCAAAAGUAAUCGGGUUCUCGUCCGGCAUCUUGACAACAGAAGUCGAUGAAGCCGAAAAAGAUAAUGCAGCCGACUAUAGUCGAUGUAGUCGAAGUAGUCACUGGAGUAGUCGAUGUGACCGGUGAAGUCGAUGAAGUAGUCGAUGAGUCCCACCAGGCGUGCCAGAAUGUGUUGUCGGUCGAAACCCACCGGCGAGCAGCGACAGGCAACACGAGGAGCCGGGAGGCUUCCGGGACUGCUGGUGGGUCCCGGUCCCUCGGUCAACGGCCCAGAAGUCCAGCACACGCCCUGGCUUGGUGAAGUGUUAGGCAUGCCACCUAACCUAUACCUGAACAGGAAGGUGUAGAAGUCAUUCGUCAGCUAUUUUCUGCAUGCACAGCCAUAUCAAACAUUAGUCCGAGCCGUGAUCAGCUCUUACAACGACCCUGAGAUCAGCUAAAGAAGCUGAUGGAGUCAUUGUACUAGGUCGGACCUUCGGGUACCUUCCAGAAUCGGCUACAAGAAACCGAUUGCCACAUUGAACAGAUCGGAUCUAUUAACAUGUGAACGUUUUGUAUGAAUCCGAUAGAAAAGAUAAAAGCAUGCUCUGUAAUUGCCAAGCUAAUACAAUCUGCGAUGGUAAAAGCUUUCACCGCAUAACCGGAACAUCCUAUGCGUGGUUAAGCCUAAUGAACAUGAAAGGUAACAAUACGCUAACCCGAAGAGAGGCCUAAAAACCAACUAACAAGUCGAUUCCCAGAACAAUCCCUCGUCAGGUUACCAUAAGGCACCAAACAUGCAACCGGAACAUUUAAUCCGUUUGAAGGGCCUAAUCAUACGGAUGUUAAAUCAAUUCCUUAUAACACAAAGAACUAGUAUAACAGAUUAGAUUUACUAAGCAAUAACAGAGCAAGGCGCUGCCCUUGCACCUGAGAUCACGUACAAGAGCAGCUGAACGAUUACGAGCAGCAAGCAAAACAUGGAUUUACUAUUCAAAACCAAUGCAACAUCAUAAUCGUUUAAGAUAACUAGUGUUACUCGCCAUCAAAAACGCUUCAGUACGAGAAACACAAGGAUAAACAGAUAAAAGCAACGCUGCUUCGACCAUACGGAACAUGAUCGGAGCAGCAUGUCGAUUACCUGGAAAGAGCCCUUGGGAAAGGGGUGGCAAUGCGCCGAGAGUUUGUUGUGAAUGAUUGAUUUAUUUAUUGAAUCUCACGAUACAUAUUUAUAGUCCGGAGACUUGAUCUUUUCUAACUAACCCUAACUGAUUACGAUACAAUCUCUAACUUACUAUAUUUAAACUAUCCUUAGAUACACCGCCAUCCUGGCCCUUGACACGUUCGCACAGAAGCCGAUUUGCAGACUGUUACCAUGCUUUCCUUCAGCCCAUGAUGCUCUCGGCCCAUCCCUUGGCCCAGUCAAAUUAUGGCGAUAACAGCCUGCCAUGGACUUCAAGGCUUGGAUGGGCUGAUCUCAUCAUUCUCUUAAAAAAACCAUUUGAUAUCUUUCUAAAGGCAACAUUGGCAGUGAUCCAAAACUUAGUCAUAAAAUCUCUCACUAACUUAGGAUCCAGUACAAAAUUGCAAACAUCCACACUAGACACACUUUUUGGAAAAAUAGAAUUACGAUCAAGAUCUGGAGGAAGUUCUUUGCAGGAUGAUCUAAUAUGAUUCUAUAGGUG
rnacentral:lncRNA from 1 species